rnacentral:lncRNA from 1 species
UGAAUUCUUUGUUUCCAAACUAAACCUUUAAGCAGACAAAACUAUUUUUACUGCAACGGUAUGCAAGGACGCGAAGUUUCUGCGUCAGCUUUCAUCAGCCACCAUCAAACCCACAUCAACUUCGAUCACUUCCCAGUAAUUGAUGAUUUUUCUUCAUGUUAUUUCUUAAUUCCUAUAAUUUUUAGAAACCUUAAACCUGAAGUAGUUGAAUACAGAAACGGAGGAUGUCAGUGUCGUUUUCAAAUUUUCCAGCACCAUUCCCGGUUAGUUUUCUAUACAUGGGAUUGUCUAUUUAUUUCUUUUUUUUUUUUUAAUUGAAAAAAGUUUUGUUUGUUUGAUGACUUUUGUUGAAACUGUAUAUGGGUUGUUUGGUUUCUAGAAAAUGAUGAUAGGAAACUAUAAUUUGUAGAUGAUCUUAAAGAACUGUAUUGCAUGAAAUUAAUAAUGUGUAUUUAAUUUUCAAUCUGGCAUAAUUCUUUGGAUUGAAAAUGAAAGGAUAUACGAAUCUUGAUUAAGUGCAUUUCAUUGGGAUUUUUCAGCAAUUAAAAUUGGAUUUUGCUUCUUCCAAUGAGUUUUGCGUCCAAUUACAUAUUGAAACACUUCAAUUUGUGUCAUAGUAUCUGAAAGCACCUCACGAGUGCUAUUGUUAUAUGUAUUGGCAUUUUCAGUUUUGUUACUGUUAUUACAUGGGAAAACUUGGUACCUUGCUUCACUAAUUUGUCGGGUAGCAGUAGUUGCAUCUUUGGCAUGAUAGAGCCUUAUAAAUGGGGAGUACAACCAUAUUUGCUAAAUUUCAAGUAUAAUAGAGUCGUACACUAGUUAUGCUAAGGCACAAUUGUCUUGCUUUUGUUGUAUCUAGGCAACAGGAAAAAAUAUUCACACAGUAACCAGUGAUCGUUUUGUUCUCUAUGGAGGUUCUGCCACUAUAUGCCAAAGGUUUUGUGGCUUAAAGCUAUGGUUACUUGACAGACUGAACCUUAAGCAUUGCAGUAAAAAGCAUGGACUAAGUGAGUCCAAGAUUAUAAAGAAUCAAGAUAAGUUAGAUAGUCAUCUAGAAACUAGUUCAUUAAAUGAUGGACGAGAUUCUGAAGGAGUUUCAACAUUAUCUGUACCUAAUGGUCAGUAAAGACUCUUCUAAGUUAACCUUUUUAUUUUUUGUCAUUUGUUAUGUCUAUCAAUGUGAAUUGAUCUUGGCAUAUUCAUUUUCUCAUACUUUGCAAUUGGAAACUUACAAUCUCUAGAUUGUGGAACUUAAUUUUCCAUUGUAGUUACGAAAAGACCAACUUCAAAGUUACAAGCACAUUCCCCAAAUUUUCCUGUUCAGAGCGAUCAAGCACCUUCACUUUGCAUUGCUGUAAUAGGAGCCACUGGUGAGCUAGCAAGAAGGAAGAUAUUCCCAGCAUUAUUUGCUCUCUAUUACAGUGGCUUUCUUCCGGAGGUAGUACCACAAUUUCUUUAUCUUGAAAGGCCUCUUUGCCUUUUAUCUAGAGGUGCUACAGCUAGAGUCUUCUUUUUUCACCAAGCCUGUUGUUUUCAUUGUUGCAGUUACUAUGUAUUUACUUUUCUGAAUCAUUCAUCCAAUUAUGUUGUUAUGCGCAUCAAAACGUAUUCGACUUGCUUCUACUAUGGCAAGGAAAAUGGGAUGUUCCAAUAAAUUGAAUGAAAGAUAUUGUUCUCAUCAAUAUUUUACAAUUUUCCAAACUUGUUCUAAAAAUUUUUGGUGAAUUUUUGCUUUUUAUUAUUUUUAUCAUUUCUGCCUGCAGAAUGUGGGAAUCGUUGGUUAUUCAAGAAAGAAUUUGACAGAUGAAGACUUGAGGUCCAUCAUAGCUUCAACUUUGACUUGCCGCAUUGAUCAUCGGUAUGGUUCUCAUGCAGUCAUACAAAUUCUCUUUCCUACCAUUCAGUUUCUUAUUCUAAAUCCUUGAGUGAGUCAAAUUACUGCCCCUUAUAAUUUUCGAAUGCAACGUGCACAAAUGCUAGAAGUUGCCUGAAUCAUCGAAAUCCAUGGUUGGCAGCUAUUUAUAUGCUGAUUGGGUUUCAUCAAUUUACAACCUUAGGAUCCUUUUGGCUACAUUCGCCAAAGUUUUCAAAGAGAAGGAAAAAAAAAGGAGGGGGUGGGUUAGCUUCAUGUCACAUUCUGUUAGCUAGUUGCUAGGGUGGGAUUUCUAUUGAUUUAAAGGAAUUAUUAGCGUGUUUUGAAGGACCCUCUCAAGUAAAUCAACAUGCAACCAUUGCUUAUGGAAAGGGCUUUGCAUCUAUGCAAGCAUUAGACUUUUGAAAAUGUGUUAAGUUGAAAUAAAUGCAACCAAGGCUCACGAUGUAGUCUAUCAAGUUAGUUUGAUUGCUAUAAAAUUAGAAUAGAAUGAAUUGAAGAAGUUUAAUAUGGCAUUUGUUCCUCAUGAUUUUAACAUCUUUUCAGGGAAAACUGUGGGGACAAAAUUGAUGCCUUUCUCAGUAGAACAUGUUAUCUUAAUGGUGGUUAUGACAACCGAGAAGGGAUGUUAAAGCUCAGCGCUUUGAUGGAGCAUAUCGAGGUGAGGUUGAUAAAAUCACAAAUCAGUGCUGUUUACAAGUAUCUAGCUUUAUCAUGCUUCCUGUUUUAUGCAACUUUAUGGUAUUACUUGGAGCCUAAAAAAAGAAAAAAAGAAAAAAUUAAUGUUUCUUCUAUCUUUUCAAUCAUAAUUAUAAAAGAUCAACUUAUGUGCUUUCUUUUACCUCUAAAGAUUUGUUAAAAACAGAGGAGAAAAAUAUAUAUUAAUAGUAGUAAUGUGUGAUAGUUUAUACUAUUCAGUUCAUAUUCAUAUCUUAGAGAGCAAAUCGCCCUAUUCCAUUCUUGCAUGAUAGUUUUAUUUGUUGUAUCGUUAGUUGUUACAAAAUAACACAUAAAUCUGGAAAUAUAAUCUGGCAAAACUUAUUAAUUAUACACUUAUUUGUAAUUAUUAUUGAACAACUUUAUAGUACGGAUUGUGUAAAGGUUGGUUUUCUGGAUUCAAUUCCUAAAAGAUAAUAGAUAAUAUAUUUUUCAUCAUUAAAAACACUUCUCAAUUAUUACAUUGUUAAAACAAGGAACAAGAAAGAAACUACAAUGAAGGUAGUAUAUGAGAUAAUGUCGUAAGACUCAAUUCACUUGUGUACAUUCUAGUUUAACCACACCAACUUUCUUUCUGUAUAAUUAAUAUUUCAUACUUUAAAAGUCAACUCUUUUUUGUCCCUUCUUUUCUCAAAUUCCUUAAACUAAAAGUUAAAACAUUUCUUCACUCUUAUAGACUGAGAGUAAUUAGCCAGAAGUAAAAUCAAUAGGGGUUGAUUUGAUUUGUCAAUGUUCAAGCUGGAUGCUUUAGAUAAUUGAUUUUUUAGCAGCUUACCUACCUCAGGGGGGAUUUGAAGCAAACAGGAUAUUUUCCCUAUCUGUGCCGCAAGAAGCACUUCUGGAUGUUGCAUCCACUCUUGCCAUCUGUGCCCAAACCCAGAAGGGCUGGAACCGUAUAAUAAUUGAGAAACCUUUUGGGUUUGAUGCACUGUCUUCUCAUUGGCUGACAAAAGCUCUUCUUUCCAAGUUCCAGGUGAAGCAACUAUACAGGUGAAUAAUCACAUUAGCUAUACUAAUGUAUUUGUGCACAUGCAUUCAGUUUUAACUUUCUUACUUCUUCAAUUUUUCAGGAUAGAUCAUCUUCUGGGGAGGAAUCUCAUUGAGAACCUUACAGUAUUAAGGUUCUCUAAUCUAAUUUUUGAGCCAUUAUGGAGCCGAACAUACAUCCGCAGUAUACAGGUAAUUUUGUUUUUUCUCCAAAUGCAAUGACAUUCACUUGUGCAGUUAAUGAUAGCCACUACCUGUUUGAAUUUUCAUGCAGGUCAUUUUGUCAGAAGAGAUGGGAGUGCAGUCUGGAAGGUACUAAAUACUAAUAAUUCAUUUUAUCUUCACUAACAAAGCCAAUUAUCUUAUCCUCAUGUCAUUCUACGGUAUCAAUAUCAUGUUGUGUAAUUUUUCGGUUAUAUCAGGUAUUUUGAUGGUUAUGGGAUCAUCCGAGACAUAGUGCACAGUCAUAUACUCCAAACCAUAGCAUUGCUUGCUAUGGAGCCCCCCAUAAGUCUCAAUGGUGAAGAUAUCCGGAAUGAAAAGGUACCUUCUGUUUUUGCGAGAUGAUCUAUUUUAUUCAAAAUCAAUUUGGUUAAUCUUUUGUGUGUAAUGCACAAGUAAGAAUAUAGUUGAUUCUAGCCUUGAGUAGGGGUGAUUUUGUAUACUUAUGUAUGGCACAAAUAGUCCUUCUUUUUAUUCUCUUAGUGGACUGGUGGUCCAUUAUCAGUUUUAAAUCUUCUUUAUUACUACAUUCUUGAGUUUGUUAUAAAAAAAAAAAAAAAGGCACAAGCAAGAUUAGAAAGCACAGGUAAUCUAUUUCCACUGUCCUACGGCAGUGAAGUUGAGGAAUAUACUUGUUAAAUUGCUAACUUUUUGCAGAUGUCCCUAACUUCAUGUGUCUUAUUGAAUCUGGUGAAAGGUAUAAAGGCAUCAGUUUAUCAAGUUGCAGCUUAUGUGAAUGUGAUUGUAAAAACAAAAGAUGAGUUCAGAAAAUCCUUAGGACGAAAGUUAAUAAUUCUUAUGAGAUGGAGCUCAGAUUCUUGUAUCCAUGUGAGCACAAUUUUAAUAGAACUUAGUGGUUUUUCAACCAAAAAGGUUGCGGGCCAGCAUGCAAUGAUUUUGCUUUUGCAGAGGCAAUUGCUUUUGCAGAAGGUAUUACAUUUGUUUUUAGGGGAAGGACAUCUAGUCCAACUUUCUCUGUAAAGUUUUUUAUACUAAUAAAUAUUCUGUUUCUAACCCCUACCUCCUCAAAAAGUGAAAAAUGAAUACAACAAAAAUUUGGUUGCAUGUGGUCAUGUUGAUAAGAAGUUUAUUCAUUUCAGGUCAAAGUUUUGAGGUCAAUCCGCAGAUUGGAGCCAAGCAAUGUCAUUCUUGGCCAAUAUAAAGCUACUUCUGAUGACAAGGUUGAUGUUAAAUUGAACAGCCUGACCCCCACAUAUUUUGCUGCUGUAUUAUACAUUGACAAUGCACGUUGGGAUGGCGUGCCUUUUCUAAUAAAAGCUGGCAUGGGACUAAUUAAACACAGGUAAUAGCUAUUUCAGUUCUGCUAAUAGACAUUGUGGUGGUUUGUACUUUGCCAGAUUAUGAUAGGAACCUAGAACACACCCUUAAAAAGCCGGCUUGUAACGGAAGUGUAACCAUCAGCUUAUAUUUCCAUUUACGGCUUAUAAUAUUUCUAAAAAUAUUGAAUUAAGAAACAAAUUCAAGAGAGGAAAUUAUGACAUUAACCCGUCAGUCUGUCUUGUUUCAAUUCCAAGAACAGUACAAACAAGAAUUCUUCAAUGGAUUAGUGUGUAAUACCUGCAAUGGGUACCGCUGUCCAUUUUUUCCAGAUAGCCAUCACUUUGUAUCAUGCAUAAACAAUUAAAUUAUGCGUGUAACAUAACCAACUGUUGGUAUAAUUGAGUGAAAAUGAUUUUUUCUUUUUCUUUUUAAUUUGUAUAGCAAACUGUGGUUACAGAUUUUUGUGAUAAAGUGCAGCCAACAACUUAGAUAAGCAUAUCUUGUGUAGGUUUCAUCUUGUAAGUUGUUCCGACAAUUCAUGGGCAUCUCCUAGUCUUUGACGUUUUGAUUGUUCAUAUGGAUCUCAUUCCAUGACAACUCAAAAUAAAUAAUAAAUAAAUGCAUGGCUUAAACCAACAUUUUUUUUUUGGGCAAUAUGGGAUGUGCUCACCAACGUUAGCCAUAUAAUGCAGAGUGGAGAUACGCAUACAGUUUCGUCAUGUUCCGGGAAACAUCUAUCAUGAUCGUUUUGGGCAUAACAUCAACCUUGCCACAAAUGAAUUAAUAUUACGUGAUGUGCCUGAUGAGGCCAUUCUAGUCUUCCAGGAUUAGGCUUGCAAUUGGAUGCUUCAGAGCUUAAUUUGCUCUAUAAGGAUAAGUAAGCACUUCAGCUUUUGGAACUUGUUCUGUUUUUGCUAUUCACUUGUCGUCACCUUUGAUAUCCUUCAUGUGCUUGCCUUUUGUGUUAAUACUGUAGGUAUAAUGCAGAGGUGCCUGAUUCAUACGAACAUCUUCUUCUUGAUGUUAUUGACGGCGACAACCAUCUCUUCAUGAGAAGCGAUGAGCUCACUGCUGCAUGGAAUAUUUUAAACCCAGUUUUACAAGAAAUAGACAAGAACAAUAUUGCACCAGAACUUUACGAGCUGGGUGGUAGAGGUCCCGUUGGAGCAUAUUAUCUUUGGGCGAAACACGGGGUUCAGUGGACCGAAGAUUAGAGGCAACACUUCUUAUAGGGUAAUCUUGCUAAUCUUUCCACAACUAAGACAAAUAAAUGGUAACUUUGUACAUGUAAAUUGUAUGAAAUUAGGGUUGAGAAAUGCCUAUCUGUAUUCAGAGGAUAAUUCUCAAGAGCAUAAACCCCUAAUUGAAAUUGGAUUUUUCUUGUAGAUGAUUUGGGUUAUGCUCGCAAACGAUGUGCUGAAAGCAUGCAUCGGAGUCAAAAAGUACCUUAAACUUCAUUUUGUAAUGAACAAAUGAUGGAUGGUUAUUUGCUUGUUUUAAUAUGAAGAUUUGUGUAUGGUUAUUUGUUAUGUGUGAUCAAAGAGUAAGCUUUUGCUAGAUUGUAUUGUUGAUGAUGAUGGAUAUCCGUUGGUGGUUUUGGGUAAAUGUGUCUGAUACCUAGAUUCUCUUUGACUAUUAAGAAAGGGGAGGAUAUGAAAAAGAGAAGCUAUCGAAAUAGAUUUACACUAUCUUAUUGUAGUAGGUUAUUUUUUAAUAUUUGUCCUAGUACAGUACGACUCUCAAAUUGUAGGAGACUUAUAGAGGUUCUUCUCAAGCAUGCUUUUUGGUGAGUGAAUUUGAUACCACUGAAGUGUAAUUUUUGAGGGUAUGUAUAAGAUUGGAUAUGUCAAAUAACCUGAGGGGCUUUGCUCAAAAGCAGCUUCAAAAACAAAACUUGUGGAAUGGCGGCUGCAUAAUGAACUUCUUAGUUGCCUUCUUGGUCUUUGCCCUUGUCAUCUCUUUGCUUUUUCACUUCAAAGGCUUAGCAUGAAUCUCAGGAGAGCUUGCAUUUUGCUAACCUGGAGUGAAUAAUUUUUUUUUAUCUGGUCCCUUAUUUAUGCAUCUGUUUAGUUGACCUCACAUAUAGCCGUAAAAGCAUCCAUGCUCCUGUGUUAUAUGCAGAAUAAUAUUCUACUUUCGAGUAGGAAUUGCAGAAUGCUCUACAAAAUUGCAUAUUACGGUAUAUGCUACAGUUUGCAUUUUACAGUAGUCAGUGGGUUUUAAAACCACAACCCCAUAAUAUCAAACGGAUUUUAAAAGAUCGAACUGACGCAUCGAAAUUUGAUUGAAAGGUUAGCUAGCAACAAAACAUUUUUUAAUCUCGUGUUGCAGAUAUUAUUUAUUUUUUUCCAACAAAAUUUUUACGCGUAUUGACUUAUGAAAUGAGAAAUAUUAUCGAUUAAUCCGGUGGAUUGAACAGAAGUACCAAUUCAAGAAAGCUAACAUUGUUAGCAGCUAUCACAUAAUCAACAUUAUCAUAUAUUAAAAAAAAAGAAAAAAAAUCAUAUCAUGUGACCCUUUAAUGAAUAAAACUUUUUCACGGACUUAAACUAAAUAAUCAAGAAAUAGUUUAAGACCCACCAAGUAAUAGAAGCCUCUUUUUAUCCAUACAGAAGAAGAAUUCAAUUUUUAAUCCCAGGACAAUUAAUUCAAUGGUAAAAAAGUCAGUUACAAUAAAGCCCAUCAUAGAAUUACAAAAACAUAAUUUGCUUCUUUUAUUGAUAAACAAAUCUGCCAUUAACAAUGACACAAGGUAUAUGGGUAAUCAUGGGCCAAUAUCUAGUCGCAAAGGUAUAUGGGUAAUCUGCCUUUAUCCACCUUUUUUCCAUCAACGGGCAAUCAUCGAUACCUAGUCGCAAAAGUGAUUUGGGCAGACCCUGCUUUGAAAAGUAUUUGAGCUUCGGACAAUUACUGAGAUCCAGAGUUUCCAAUGAAGUGAGGUUUUCACCAACUGAGGAUAGGCAUUUCAGAGUUGGCAUAUCUGAAAUCCCCAGUUGGGUUAGAGAGGCAGGAAACCACGGAGAUGACACCAGGUCUGGGCAUCCUCCUCUGAUUCGUAAUUCCCUGAGACAGGCGAAUCUGUCCAAUCCCCACUCGAACAAUGGCUUUGAUAUCUUCAGAUCAUCAACCACAAGUGAUUGGAGGUUGGUGGGAAAACCAUCCUCUGGGAAAGAUACCAAGCUACGACACUCUUAUUUCUAAAUGUAGAAGAGAGGUGAGGUUGUGUAUGCAGUUGGGUAAGGCCUUCAGAUUCUUACAUUUCCAGAUCGUGAGCCGAGUCAGUUUUGUAGAAGGCAAUCCUCCUUCGGGAAAUGACUCAAGAUUUGGGCAUCCAAAUAUCCAAAUUCUUUGAAGAUGGUGGAGAUUAUGCAAACCGUCAGGUAAUGAUUUUAGAUUUUCCAAACAUGAAAUAGUGAUUUCUUCAAGGGAUGUGUUGUCCAACCUUUCUGCUAAUGACUCUAGCUUUGAGCAGUCUUUGACAUAAAGGUAUUUAAGAGCCCGAGGUAGAUUUCCAUUCCAUGACAAGAAAGCAAGAUUCGAGCAAUGAGUGACCUCAAGGUGCUCCAGAGUGGCAGGUAACUCGUUUUCUGAAGAAAAUGGUGUGCGGGAGGUGGACCCACUGCUGCUACGGCUGAUGUCCUGUUUCAUGGUCAAAGUCCUUAAAUUAGGACACCAUUUGAUAAUCAGCCGCUUUAGGCUCGGGGAUAGCUGGAUUCUGGCAAUAUAUGUCAAAGAAUCACAUCUUUUAAAUUUCAAACUUUCAAGAGAUGUAUUGCUAUUUUUCAUCCAUGCCUCAGGUAAGGAUUCCAAUGCUUUGCAUUCUAUAAAUCUAACUGCUCUCAACUGGGAAGGCAGAGCAACCUCUGGAAAUGAAACAAGUGAACCACACAAUCGAAUAUUCAAAAUCUGAAGAGAUGAGUCGGAGUUGUGCCUCCAUGCCUCAGGUAAGGAUUCAACUACACCGCAACUUGAGAUUAUAAUUUUUCGCAACUGGGAAGGCAGAGAAGCCUGAGAAAAGGAAACAAGUGAAGCACAGCCAUCUAUCCGCAUCUCUCUAAGGGCAGUAAGGGUGAGCAAUGCUUGUGGUAGCUUUGUAAGGUCUUCACAAUGACUCAAUUCCAGCCUGCACUGCAACUCUGGCUGUUGUUGGUCAUGUACUUCCUCUGUGACCAAGGAAAAAAUUUGGGGACAACCUGAAAUCUGCAACCGUUUAAGGGAGCUAAUAUCUUGCAGCAACCGAGUUUCACUCUGCCAUCUCUGCCAUAAAUAUGUUUGCUCUCGACCAUAACCAAUCUUUAAAUUUGCCAAUUUAGGUAGCCCUUUCUCAAAUAGACCUGGCAUACGCCUUAAAACCACUGAUUUCAAUGAACUGAGAUCGAUUGGGCUGCUGAACACCACCCUUUUACAUCCAUCCAUUUGUAAUUCUCUGAGAGCUGGAAGACAAUGAAUUGUCACAAGCAACUGUUCACAACUUUUGAUGGCCAGCGUCUCUAGUAAAGUAAGACGUUCGGGCAAUGAUCCUUGCAGUUUAGAACAUCUUACAAGAAAAAGCAUUCGUAGCUUUGGAAACCCUUCUCGACCAGAUCCACAAGGAAUCCACUCUUCCCAUCCCUGCAUAUCCUGAAAACACAGAGUCUCCAGUGACGGAAAUGGCACUGAGCAACUGUUUCCAUAAAACUCUGGACCCACGCUCUUUACUGUAUCCAUUCUACUUAUCUCAAGAUGCUUUAAAACCCAACUGACGGCAAGAAUGUACACAUGCCGCAACCUUCAAAUCUUAGGAGCACCAAUUUUGAGAAUGAGGAAUCUCCUACCCAUGUUGGAAAUUUUGUACCACCAUAGCCUGCGAUGGUGAGCUCCUCUAGCUUUUGAUGAGGUUUUAGCAUGUCAAGCACUCGAAUUUCAAUUUUAAAGUCCGGCUCCAUCACAUCACUAAGGUUACCCCGUCUUUGGUUGACACGGUUCCAAUCACGCCAUUCAAGCAAUAAAGCUUUAAGAUUCACCUUGGUGUUUAACUGAGCCUCACUGGCAUCGCCAACGUCUUUCACAUUCUCCAACUUCGAAAUUUGUAGCGUCCCCUGAAGAUGCAUCAAAGACUUAAACUCUCGCAGCCCAGAACCACUGUCUUUUCCCACAACAAAUCUACACAACGUCAAGAGACAAGUCAAUUUACCGAAUCCCUUCGGCAUUUCUUCCAACGAAUCAACAUUAGGAUUUCUUAGAUGAUGCAAUUUCGUUAGGUUUCCCAUGUUUUUACACAACUUCUUGAGCCGACGACAGUCUUCCAAUAAAAUUGUAUGCAAGUUGUACAGUGAGUUAAUUGACUCAGGUAAAAUCUGAAUAUUAGUUCUCGACAAGUUUAGAAAGCGUAAAUGCUUCAAAUUUCCAAUUUCAUUUGGUAGCUUGGAGAUAUGAUACCCACGCAAUGACAAGACCCUUAGGCGUGGGAGAUUCAACAGCCUCUGAAGAACACUCCAAGCCAAAUAAUUGCGCCUAUAAUCUGACAAAUUUACUGGCAAAAAGGUUCGCAAAUGCUCCACAUCAGAGACGGACUUCAACCUCUUUUCGCCAUCAUAUUGUCCACGAAUGUACGAAAAAUGACGAAGACUUUGAGAAAACUUUUGUCGGUUUUCACCUGCUAAUGUAUCCUCCAUUCUGAAGUAUAGCUCCCCUGCAGCCCAUCGAGCAAGGUCAUUGAUUAGAUCAUGCAUCACAAAUCGGGAUGUAUCUUUACUUGACAGUUGAAAUAACGACCUUGAAUGUAACUCCCGAACGAACUCGCGGCCCAAAUCUUCCAUUUUCCUUCCAUUGUAUUCUUGAUCCAAGAAACCUUCAGCCGUCCACAAUAAAAUUAUCUCCUCUUCUUCAAAUUCAUAAUCUUUGGGAAACAAUGAGAUGUAUGCAAAGCACUGUUUCAACUGUGGAGGAAGAAAAUGGUAGCUCACUCUUAGGGCUGGUACAAUAUCACAUUUGUCCUCUUGUAAAUCCCAUAUGUUAGCAUUGAGCACAAAUUCCCUAGCCCCUAAGGAGUGUUGAAUGAGCACACACAAACAGUCAUCGUCCGACAACUCUUUCAAUGUUUUAGUUGAAACAGCUCUCAUUGUUUCUGCAACACCUUGAUUGCGAUGUGUGACGACAAUCUUACUUCUGGAUGCACCAGCACCAAAGGGACAACUCAGGGCUCUCCAAGAAUUGUAAUUUUCGUUCCACACGUCGUCCAAAACGAGCAAAAAUUUCUUACCAGAUAGUUGCUUCUUCAGUUUCUCUUGGAGCAAAUUUAAAUCAUCUUUAUCCGUACACUGAUCACUAGCAAUGGAAUUUAGGAUCGAUUUUGAAACCCUAAAAGCAUCGAAAUCCUCAAAGACACAAGUCCACGUUUUGAUCUGAAAAUGACGUUGCACUCGAUCAUCUUUAUUUACAAGCUGAGCAAGAGUUGUCUUCCCAACGCCGCCCAACCCCUUAAUAGAAAUAACAGAGAAUCCAUCAUCAGCUCUUAAAUCAUCCCUCAACAGCAACUCAACAAUUGCCUCCUUAUCUUUUUUCCUGCCAUAUACGUCGGCUUCGUUCACCAAAGAUGUUGUGGGUAAUCUUUGCCCGACAUUUAUUCUAGACUUCCCGUCUGAAAUUACAUUUUUCAUUGUCAGCAGGUCUUUUUGCGUUGAAAUAAUACUCUGCAGCCGAGCAGUGACAUCCUCUAUUUCCGACACCAUUUUGGAUUCAAACUGAAUAGAUCGAGGGCUAAAAUUGGUGCAGCAAGUAGGAAUGAUCUUACGAAACUUACUCGUGCUAGUACUGGGUUGAUAAGCAGCAGCUGGUUCUUGAAGCAGCAACUCCCUCCGCAGAGCUUCAGUUUCGAGCUCAUCUAACACGUCUUCAGCAUCAUAAGCCAAGUUCUGAAGAUUGUCGAGCCAUUUCUUCACAGCCUUGUCCUUUGUCUGCCUAUCCUCAGCAUCAGCAAGCACUGCCUGAAUCAUCUCCAACAUUCCCUUCCACUUGAUGAGAUCAGCCUUCAACUUCUCAUGCCGUGUGAACAGUUCAAGUCCCUUUGAAGCCAGCUUUUCGAUCAGCAACUCAACUGACACACUAAGCACCGCCUCUCCGAUGAAUGACAUUUUUUUUUUUUUUCGUGGUUGAAGGAAACAGAGUAAAUUAUGAAAAAUGAAGAAGAAAAAAAGGCACAGAAAUUGAACAAAGUCUAGUUUGUGAUUGUGAUUUGUGAAUGAAGAGUAAGAGCAGGCAAGAGAAUGCAAUGUGAAAUGGGGUACACAAAAAACAAAGCUUUAUGAUCAGGUCCACGCGUUUCUGCCGCUAAAGUCAAGCAUGAGUAAUCAGUUGGGUUAUUUAUUUUUUAUCAUUUGAUUAUUAUAUAAAAUAUUUUAAAAUUAUUUGAUAAUUAAUUAUUAAUCAAAUAUUUAAAUAGUUUUAUUUAAUAAACAACAAAAUAAAAUUACAAAAAUAAUUUAAAAAAAUAGUAAACCGUUUGUUAACCGUUCGGGGGUGGAAAAUUUUUGUGAAAUAACUUUGUCCACCCUUAGAUUUUGAAGUAAUUUCACUUAAAUAACAUAUUUUAUUUAAUAUUACUUUUCAACCAUUCUUUAAAAUUUAUAAUGUGAUAAUCCUUUUUAAAUAAAUCUUUCAAAAUCUAUUACCAUUAAGUAUAAAAUAUAAUAUCAAGUAGGUUAUUUAACACAAAUCAAAUAAAUAAGUUGCAAUUGUAAAAUUAAUUAUAUAUGAUAUAACACUAAUAAAUAACACAACUAAGUACAUAUACUUAAGUAAAUGUCAUAGGUACAUCGAUAAACUCAUUGGUGAGAUUGCUUGUAACAUAAAAAAUACUUAAUCACGCAUGUUUCAAUAAAAUUUAAUAUCUUAUAUUAAAAUACUCAUUAUUUUAUAUAAUAUUAAAGACCAUUAUAUAAUUGAUCAUGAAUGAUAUAUUAUUUUUAAUGUCCAUUUAACAUACCUAUUCUCUGAACUUUUUUUUAGGAUUUCUUUAUAAUAUUGUAUAAGUUUUUACAACAUUGACAAUGGGAUUGUUGUGGACUCUUGAAUGUUAGUGUUUUCAUAUUUACCAUUUAUUUGAUAUAGUGAAUAAAAUAUUAAUUAUUUAAAUCAUAACAAGCAAUCCUCAGGUUGCAAGUAAAUAUAAAUUUAUUUUUAUUUUUACUUAAUUGAUAAAAGAAAAUUUAUUUUAUAAUGAAUAAAAAUCCCACAUUCAAUAAUGGGAUCAUUGGAUUUAAUAUUAGAAUCUUCACCGUUAAUUUAAUUUUAAUGGAUAAGUAAUUAUGUAGCAAAUAAUAUGCAAGUUGUGAUAUUUCUUCAUAUUUUAAAUUAUUUUUUAUCUAAUCAAUUGAUAAAUCUUUUAAAUCACCAAAAAAUGAAAUAAAAAAAUAAUUUUGGAGUUAAAAUUAUUAUGUAUUAAUUCUCUUACUUUACAAUUUUACAUUUAGUAUUAGAAAUAUAUUUAAUAGCAUUAAAAUAAAUGUAAUUAACAACUAAUGUUAUUUCAAUAAUAUUUUAUAUAAAGAUAUUACAUAAAGUCUUAUAAUAAUUUGUAUUGUAUGAAUUUAAUUACAAAACAUUAAUACCUAAACAAUAAUGAUAAUAGAAGACAUUGUAAUAAAAUACUUUAUAUAUGUUUUAUUAAUAAUACUAUAUGAGUCACAACAAAUGAGAAAUAUUUUAUUCACCAAUUAUUAUUGAAAAAUAUAUAUGUCUAAAUUGUCUAUAUAACUAUAUAGUGAGGAAUAUUUUGAUUUAAAAUUUUAACAAAAAGUUAAACUAUUAAUUUCAUGCAAUCCAAUGGUGGAGGAUAUAACAUUAUGAAAUGUUGUUUUGACUUUCAAUAUUAACCAUUAGACUAUGAGAUAUUAAUGUCUCAAAUAUUUUGUUAAAAUUGUAGGUUAAAGUAUGCCAAACCAUGUCUUUAUAAUGGAAAUAUAAAAACAUACAAUGAAUUGUUUAUCAUUUUGUCCAUUAAAUAUUAUUGGAUGUAAUAUUUUAUUUAUUGUCACUGUUACUUAUCAUAAUAAAAGUAAUGACUCUUAGUAACAUAAAAGUUUUAUAAUUACAAUCAAAGGAUAACAAUAAAAUAAUCUUUAAUGAUUCAUAAAUUAAAGUUAAUUAGGAAUAUGUGCUAGAUUUAACUUUCAUAAAAUUAAAAAAGUGACAUUUGAAAAUAAAAUGAAAUCACGCUUGUGAAAGUUAAAUUUUAUAAGGCUUGGAUAAUUUCCUACCAUGUAAAUAAAAAUUUUAAAAUAUAAAAUGAUUUUCUUUCACAGUUUUUCCCAUGUAAAUAUUAUUGGAGGUAAUAUUUUAUUCAUUGUCACUAAUAAUUACCAUAUUAAAAGUAAUGACUCUUAGUAACAUAAAAUUUUAUAAUUACAAUUAAAGGAUGUCAAUAAAAUAAUCUUUCAUAAUUCAUAAACUAAAGCUCAUUAGGAAUAUAUAUUAGAUUUAACUUUUAUGAAUUUAACAAAGUGAUAUUUGAAAAUAAAAUGACAAUAUAUAGCCUUGUAAAACUUAAAAUUCUUACCAUGUAAGAAUAUUAAUUGUAAGACAACAAAAAGUUUAGAGAAUAGAUACAUUAAAUGGGUGGUAAAAAUAAUAUAUACUUCAUGAUCAAUUGUACAAUGGUCCUUAAUAUUAUAUAAAAUAAUGAGCAUUUUAAUAUACAAUUUUAAAUUUUAUUAAAACAUGAGUGAUCAAGUAUUUUUUAGGUUACAAACAAUCUCACCAAUGAGUUUAUUGUUGUAACUAUGACGUUUACUUACGUAUAUGCACUUAGUUGUGUUAUUUAUUAGUGUUAUAGCAUAUGUAAAUUUUACAAUUAUAACUUAUUUAUUUGAUUCGUGUUAAAUAACCUACUUGAUAGUAUAUUUUAUACUUAAUGGUAAUAGAUUUUGGAAGAUUUACUUAAAAACAAUUAUCACAAUACCAAUUUAAAGGAGGGUUGAAAAGUAAUUUCAAAUAAAAUAUGUUAUUUAAGUGAAAUUGCUUCAAACUCUAAGGGUGGUCACAAUUAUUUUAUAAAAAUUUUCCACCCCUCAAACAGUUAACAAACUGUUUAUUAUUAUUUUUAAAUUAUUUAUUUUUUCUUUAGCACAAAUAUUAUAUAAAUAGUAUACAAUUAAAACAUUAUUGAUGCUGUAAAAAAAAUUACAGUAUUAAAGAGAAAACCUUAUUUUUAUUCAAAUUCUAUAUAUGAUAACCUUAGUGCUAAAGAGCUAUUAAAAAUUUUUGUUAACUAAUUAUCUAUAUGUAGUUGCAUGAGAUGAUUGGCAAUUCAUAGAAACGUUUUGCAUUUCAGCCAAUUUACUUGAUACUAAAAAUGAUACUGGGUAAAUUAUACUAUUAAUUAAUAUAUAUAAUUUGAUCUCAAUGUCCUAAGAUGCAUAAUUCAAUCUAAUGGACGUGAUAAUUAUCAUUUGAUUAUUGUAUAAAAUAUUUUAAAAUUAUUUGAUAAAUAAUUAGUAAUCAAAUAUUUAAAUAGUUUUAUUUAAUAGACAAUAAAAUAAUUCGUAUGUAAUAUUGUAUAAUUUUAAUAAUUUACAUUUGUCUAUUGUAAUCAUGACCAUCUAGUACUAAUUUAUUAUAAAUCUAAUUGUUGUAUUAGCUGUCCUUAAAUUAAUUUUAAAUUUUGUUGAUAGUGAGAGGCAAACGUGUUUGAUAUUAAUAACACCACGCAAACGAGCUUUUUGCCACUACAGAAGCACAAGUAAUUUUGUAUGUUUAUUUAUCGUAGAUGUCGUUUAUCGUUUGAUUAUUAUAUAAAAUAUUUUAAAAAUCAUCAACUAGUGGAUUCAAGUAUGUGUAAGUUGAUCAGUCAUCUAAGUCUCCAUAUUUUUAUAGUUAUUUCUCUAAUAAUAUUCUAAUUAAUAAAAAUUUUUGAAUUACGUAUAGACAAUUUAUUUUUUAAAUAUUCUCUAAUUAAUAAUUAUUCUACGAAUAAAAUUUUUUAUGCAAAUUUUAUAUUUGAUUAAAAAGAUUAUGAAAAGUUUGCCAUAAUUUUUACACAAAUUCUAAAUUAUUAUAUUUUUAGUUUUGUAUUACUUGUCUUCUUUAUUGAAAAUUUUGUUGUAAUGUCUAAAUCAUUAAUAAAAAAAAUACUAUUUAAUGAUGUCAAUCCAUCAACAGUUGGAAUACAUGAAAUCAUCUAUAAUUUGAUUACAGGAAAUCAAUAUGUCGCAAAAUAUAUGUAAAAUAUUUAAUUAAGGAUAUAUACACUUGUACAUAUGGUUGAUACAUAAUCUGAAUUCUAAAUAAUAUAUUACCACUCAUGACUUUGUAUUGUCAUGCAUUGAAUAAUUUUCAAUAUAUAGUUGCAUGACAUGACUAGCAAUUCAUAGGGACGUUUUCUAUUUUAACCAAUUUACUUGAUAGUAAAAAUGAUAAUUUGAUCUCAAUGUUCUGAGAUGGAUUGAAUCUGAUUCCUGAAAACAGAGUAAAGAGACAAUUUUUAUUGACCUGCACUCCAAUUUCAAGACUACAAGUUAACAAGUUAGUCAACCCCAAGUUCAUUUCAUCUUAUCAAAAUAUUAUGAUCAAGAAAAAUCUAAUGAACCCCAAGUUCAUUUCAAUCUAAUGGACAUGAUUCACUAAACUUUACAAAGGUCCAUUUACACUUGUUUUAUACAGUACUUUAUGCUAAAUCAUCCUUACUAUGAGUCAUCAGUUUCUGCUGAGUCAGUUGCCAUGUCAAUACCUGCUGUACAGAGUGCGGAUGUUGAGGUUCAGGAUAAGGCUGCUCACAGAGGCAUUUCAUCGAACAUCUAAUUCAUUUCGUCAAACAUCUAACCUGUUCUAACAUCUAUGAACAUCAAGAGAAAGAAACGAUUUAGAACCCACCAAGCAAUAGAAGAUUUAACAAAACAAGAGCCUUAACUAUAGAAGACUUUUAAUUUUUAAAAACAGGACAAUUAAUUCAAUAGCAGAAAAAUUAGUCACAAUAAAGCAUCAUGGAAUCAAAAGCAUUUCGACAUAAGCUAUAUGGGCAAUAUUUGUCUUUAUCCUUUCUGCACCUGUUUUUCUAUCAACUUUAAUUUUCUAGACCCAAUCUGUAUUGAUGAGCUCUAUGAUUUUCAAAGGUUUUGUUAGCAGAGGCCUGAACUCUGUACCCUCAAAAUUUUGCAGCAUUUCAAUUUUUCUUUCAAGUUAACUGAUUACAUUUCUUUUUCAUUAAUGUAAUGGCAAGAUUAGCUGAAACUUUAUUCUCUUUCAUAUCUUCUGUGAUUUCUAUUCAUUAAUUCUUUUAAUAAGUUUGAUAAUUAAUGAAGUGGAAAUCACAAGGCAGCAAAUUUUAAGGAUAAAAUUUUCCAGCAUAACUUGUAUUGUAUUCGUUAUUAAAACUGUAUACAGAAUGCAUUCUUAAGUAUUAGCCAAAAUAUGCUCAGUCUAUUUAUUAAUUAUGGCUAUAAUACUAAUCUAAUGGCAACCUAUAAUUCAAUCUGAUAGACGUGAAUCACUGAAGUUUUCCGAAGGAAAAUACACCCUUGUUUUUUACAAUCCUUUAUUCUGAAUCAGCUGCAAUGCCAAGCAUUCUUGUGGCUGAGGCUGCUCACAGAGUCAUUUCAUCGAACAUUAAUUCAUUCCAUCAAACACAUGACCAAUUCUAACAUCGGUUAACUGUUAUAAUAUAAGGUCCAAGAAGAUAUGUUAAGAUAUUGAAACAAAGGAUGCUGUAGCAUGGGAUAAAUUUAGUAUUAAUUAACUACUGAAAUUUCUUUUAAGAAAAACAACGGCGGCAUGAAAAAAAUAAAAUAAAAGAAGUAAUUUGGUCUUAUUGGCUUGUGUUUUGGAUUGGAUAUUUGGCCUGAUAAUGAAUAAAUUAAAAUCAUCAAUGGUUGGAUUAAUUAUAUGCUUACUAAUGCUAUUAAUUUCACUCAUUUAUUUAAAACGCAAGCAAAGAGGAGAAGAAAAAUAGACCAAGAAGGCAGCCAUCCAAGCUUUUUAGCCAUGUGCUCAUUAAUCGGUAUUUGCUCCUCUUUCUCAAUGCACAAUCCCAAAACUCUAACAAGAUUUAUAUGCUGAAGUUUUGCAGUUAGCAUAACCUCAUUCUUGAACCUCUCAAAUCAAUGUCUUUGAAAGUUUCUCCACUGCUAUUAAUUUCUUAUCCAUGUAGCAAUAUGCCCUGGAAUAAAAAUACAAUCAACACGUGUUGAAGGUUUGAACUCGAGACUUUGGUUUUGGUGCCAUAUUAUUUAACAGUCAGAUGAGAUACUGCCUCGUAGACAGUGCCAUAUCCACCCUCCCCAAGCUUACUCUCGAACCUUAAAUUCAUCAGUAGCUGCAGAAUUUGAUACUUUGCUCUUUGCUUCUUUAGCUGAGUCAAAUAGCAACAAUUUGAAAUUCAGAAAAGGUUUUAAAUUUACAUCUUCUUUAUUGAAAUAAAAUUUACAUAAUCUUGAUCAACAGUUUGUUGGCAGAACAGGUUACCUUUUGUUUUGAGCAUUUUCAUACAGAAGAAAUAUAAAACAUAGCAUAGUAAAAGAAAACCAGCUGCAAUUUUGUUUUGUUUCUUUUUAUCAUCUUCCCGAGCUGUAAAAUUAAUUAGAGUUGGACUAUUUUGAACCCUUCUAUUAUUCUCUUAAAACCCUUUUUUAAACACAUCAUAUUAAUAAAUUUAAAAUAUAAUUUAAUUUCUAUUUACACCCUCUUUAAUUCCACAAAUACCCUACUACUCUUUCUCCUAAACAAACCCCAUUCACAAUCUCUUUCUUAACUUAUUUAGGUAAUUGUUCAUUUAUCUUCCUUCUUAAAGCCGUUUAAAUUAAACAAUACUUUCUUUGUCUUUCUCUUAUUAGUAAUUGUAUCAUAUAAAUAAUAUAAUAGCUAAAACUUUUUUGAUUGAUUAUUUUUAUCAUAAUUUGACUAUUUUUGUUCAACUUCUCAUAGUUUUGAACUACAAAAAUGGAGAAUUUGAAAUUUAAUUAGUUGAAUAGAGCUAAUUCCGUAAGUCGAAUCAAGUAAGUAUUAAAAGGUUUACAACAAGCAAUAUGAAAGUGUUUUUCAUCUUUAAAAUUAUUUCUAUCCAAGAAAAUUAUUUUUUAAAUAUUUAUAUCGGCUCCGCCAGCAAUCUUCAUUUGCGUUGUAUUUUGGGGUGGGUGUGGAGGUGAAAUUUUAGAUAGGGGUAAGUAAACAAGAUUAAUUGGGGUUUAAAGAGAAUAUUGAAGGUAUCGCUAAUUCCAUGUUAUAAAAUCCAAGCACCUAGAGUGAAGAGACCAUUUUUAUAAUUGGUCUCAAUGUCCUAAGAUGGAUUGGUAAUUGGAAUCAAUAAUCUAAUUCCCGCAAAUAGAGUUAAAAGACCAUUUUUUUUCAUUGACCUGCACUCCAAUUUCAAGACUACAAAUUAACAAGUCAAUCAAUCACAAGUUCAUUUCAUCUUAUCAAAAUAUUAUGAUCAAGAAUAAUUUAAUGGGCAAUGGCUAUGUAUAUUUCAAUCUAAUGGACAUGAUUCAUUGAACUUUACAAAGGACAUUUUACACUUGUUUUAUCCAAUCCUUGAUGCUUAAUCAUCCUUAUCAUGAAUCGCCAGUUUCUACUGAGUCAGUUGCCAUGUCAAGACUUGCUGAUAUUAAGAUUUAGGUCGAGGCUGCUUAUAGAGACAUUUCAUUAAACAUCUAAUUCAUUUCAUCAAUUACCUGACCUAUUCUAACAUAAAUAAAUUGUUUUUUUGUAGUAUUUGGAAUUCAUAAUUAAUACACUAUCUACUUAAAAGAUUCUUUUUAAAAUAGUGAAUAAAUCAAACUUAUGAAUAAUUACUACAAAAUCAUAAUAUAUCAUACAUAAUUAUGUCACAUAAUAUAUCAUACAGAAUUACAGAUUGAGAUCAAAACAUACACUAUAGUUUUGGUAAACAUGUGCAAAAUGCAUGCUUUCUCUUUCAUUUCUGCUUCAAUCCCACUUUGCAUGGAAGUAACAAGAUGAUAUCUUGAUAGAUAGAAACAGAAGCAUAUAUAGCCAGGAUGUCGUGUUGAACAAUAGUUAAGAUAAUAGAUAAGAUGUUGUGGAAAAUAGAAUGUGGCUUGUGAAUAAAAUAUGCAAAAGUCAAGGUGUGUUAUACAUUGUCCUUAACUACUUCUGCCCCUCAAAAUAAUAUUUUGGUGGAAAUAGAUUAUUUACUGAUAGUUCCUAUAAUACAAUGGCUGUAAUUAUUGUAAGAGUGCACACUCAAUACAACAAUUUGGAACAACAGAAAAUUGAAUAUAAAGUACGAUGUCUUAUGCGAUAAUACUUGGGAUAAGGACGAAGUAUAGUUGAAGUAGAAGUAGAGAAGAAAUCUAUAGCCUUCCAUUCGUAGAUCAAUGGUGUCUAUUCCAAAUACCUCAUCAAAUAGCUAACAUUUAAUUUAAUUUUCUUUUAACUACUUUCAACUUCUUCUAACGUUAUUUCCAUCACUAUCAUAACUUCCUCAUUAACGUUUAAAUUUGAACUCUUGUAAUCGAAUUCAAGUUCAACUGUGUAGGAUUCGGUUUUUUGAAAUACCCUCGCAUACUCACAACAUGUUGUGGUAAGGACUAAAUUAACUAAUGAAAAUUCGUUUAGGUAAACUAUUGAGUCUAUGACAACAUGAUAAAAAGAAUUUAAUGAAAAUCAGAAGAUAGAUACAAUGGGGGAUUUAAUGAAUCUGUCCCUCAAAAUUGUAGUUAUUCUAUGUGGAAAAUGAUAAUAUAAUAAGAAUAAUUAAACACCAAAUUCUUAGGCUCCUGCCUAGGCCUUACUUUGCCUUUGUUAAAAAAAGAUCACUAAAAUAAUAUAAAUUGAUAAAGAGUACAAAUAAAGAGCAGAACAGUAUACUGUUUCAAAAUAUAAGCAUAAAAACCUGUUAAGCAGUACAUGCAAUAGUUUCAUAUUUCUCCAUGUAAUCUGGAUCAGCUACCAAUUCACUUAACCAGCUGGCUGAAUUAAGUAUUAAAUAAUGAAAUUUCCUUUAAGUAAACUAUUGAGUCUAUGACAACAUGAAAAAAAAAUAUAUAUUGAUGAAAAUCAGAAGAUAGAUACAAUUACUCUAUAUGGAAAAUUAAAAUACAAUUUUCUCUGUUGCCAAACAGUAGCUUUGCCUCGAAAUUAGAUUUACUUUACGUGGCAUGGGUUGAAAUACAUUGAUCAACACAAGAAAAGGAAUUGGUCUUUUUGGCUUGUGUUUUGGAUUAAAUAGUUGGCCUGGUAAUGAACAAAUUAAAAUCAUCAAUGGUUGGAUUAAUUAUAUGUUUACUAAUGCGAUUAAGAGCUAUUGGAUGAACUUAUAAAAAUUUUAGAAAAAAUGUAAUUUUGAUCAAUUAAUUUCACCCAUUUAUUUAAAAGGCUAGCAGAGAGGAGCGGAAAAAUCAGACCAAGAAGGAGCCAUGGAAGUUAAAUAUCGGCUUUCUGUUCCUUCAGCCAAGUUUGUAAAAGAACUCCUAAAAGAUGAGCAAACAUGCAACUGACAAACAUUAUUAAUACUGAAAGCAGCUAUUUAACCAGAUAAACUCUAGUUCAAUCAAAUCAUCAGACACUAGCAGAUAUUAACUCACCUUGUCUACACAAUGUCUUAAAAUUAAGGUGCAAAUCCAUUUAAAGAAGAGUAACAUGACUAAAUUGAAUUGAAGUAAUUACAGUGAUGAUGCACAUGUUGAAAAAUGAAUCUCAAAGGAACUUCUCUAAAUCCUUCAAAACAGAAUAUUAAUUAGCAGUUAAAAAGGACAUAGGAAAAGAAAAAUAAUACAGGAGAAAGGUCUGACAUGAAAAGCUUUUGUUUUUUCCUAAGAAACAAAAGAUUAUAUAUUAAACAAUAAGAGAUAUGUACAAGGAUUAAUGCAACUACAAAUAAUCAAAAACAAGGAUGGUAAAAUCAACCAUGCUUCCGAAAUUCAUUUUGAAAGUCUUUGUACAGACCAUAUAAUUUAUUUGGGAAGCUCAAAAGAUGCUAAGGAAGACAAACCAAGGAAGUUGCAAGCUUAAACUUUUCUAUAGAUAGCAAUUGGUAUAAUGUACCAUGGUAAGAACGUCAAUUUAAAAUGUCAAAGAAAUCUACAUAUAUUCAAGCAGUUUAAGUUAAACUCUGAGAGUUAAACAGGUCACAUUGAGAAUUGAAUCAAAAGCCUACCUCGAUGUAGUGGCUCAAGUAAAAACUUGCCUAUAAAAAUAGUAAACAAGAACUGUGAAUUAAUUGUUAUGUGGGGUCUGCUUGGAACCCAAUUCGGUCUAGCUUUUAUGAAAUUGAAUUCUUUUCUUAGGUUUCGAAUUAUUGAUAUGCAAUUAGAACUGUGUUUGCUUAUCUACACUUUUUCUUAAUUGAAAAUUAGCCAAAGGAUGGUAAAAUUAGGUGCCACAACCAGAAAAAAUGAUGAGCAUUUGCUCUUCUCUCUGUCAAUGUUCCCAGAACUCUUAACAAGAUUUACAUGCUGAAGAAUGUGCACUAUUCAACCUGAGAUCCUUACCGGAUAAUGGAUGUAUGAAUUCUUAUAAUCAGACAUCUGCAUUCUAAUGCGCCUAUCAGAAGAAUGUGCACUAUUCGAAGACCGUGUAAAUUGUAUAAGCAAAGAUAUAACGAAGCUAAUGGGACAGGCUUCCCACCAAACUCAUCAAAAACCCUGACACUGCCUUAGGAAGCCAUUUUUGAAGUUGACAAUUGGAAUCUUAUCUAUGAAUUGAAGAAAUAAUGCUGUUUGAACUUUCUCCCAAUAGCAAAAGUGAGAGUGAAUGAAAUAAGCAAAGGUUGAACAUACUGAAAUGAAGAUAUAAAUUUGCUCAAUCAAGAGAUGAAAAAACAGGAUGAUUAUUACGUAAUUGAUUUAAAUAACAAUGUAACUGCACUCAUUUCCAAUACUGUGAUUAUCAUCAUUAGUUUCAUUUGGCAUCAUGGAGAAAAUCCUUUUCAAAUGAAGGGAAGCUUAUCUCCUCAAUGUCAAAAUAUGGCAUGUGCAUAAAUACAAGCUCCUGCAUUUAAUGUAAUUAUGUUGCAGGAUGUGAUAUAAUCCUGCAUAAUUAAGUGAUUCAAGCAGCAAAAUACUGCUAAACAUGACCUAAGCAAAAUAUUUGAAGUUAAUAAAAUUCAACUGGAAUGCGUAAGUUGCUUCAAAAAAAACGGAUACCCAAAAUCCAAAAUAAAUCUUUACAGUCAUGGGCUACUGGAUUUGAAACCUAAAUGCAUAUUCAUAAAUUCUUAUUUUAAGUUGGCAACAUUGCUUCUUUUAUCUUUUGCAUUUGAAUUAAAGGGGGAUGCCCAAAAUCCCAAAAUAAAUCCUCGUAGUUAUGAGUUACUGCAUUUGAAACCUACUACAUAUGUAUUUUAUUUAAAGUUGGGUAAAAAUGCUCUUUUUUGCAAUAAAAAGAAAAAAAGAAAAAGACAACUUUCAUAUACUAAAUGUUCUGGCGAUUAAAUACAAUCCUCUUAAAUAAAACAGUGAUUCUUCAAUGUCAGAUACUCCAUUACAGAGGAAAAACAUAAAACAUGAGAAAAUGCAGUAACAAGGUAAGUGGCAACCUCGCCAUGCAUGAAAGUGAAAUAAUCCAACAAUUCCUUUGGACGAGAAACAUGUUCCAACAUCGGGUAAGGAUAAUUUUGAACCAGAGUGCCUAUCAGUCUGCAUAUCAGAUGCAAUUAGUACCACUGAUAACAAUAAGUCAAAGAGCAAGUUAACAAGUAAUGAAGAUGCACUUAGCUUCUGACUGACAUGCUCUGUUCUGGCUUUAAAGACAGGACGCGGAGUUUCCAUUGCUCAAUACACAUUAACUAAAUCAACUAUUACAGCUAUCAACAACCCAAUAUAACAAUGAUUACAAAAUGGUCAUAAUUCAGACCAUGUUCGUAUUGAUUGGCGACUAGUCAAACAUUCUUAAACACAAAUUUUUUAUUCGUUUUUUUUUUUUUCGGCAGCCUUAUUCAAUAAUCGGUGAAAGAGUUCUGCAGUCAACAAUUAUACCAACUUCACUCCUAGCCAUAUCAAUAUCUGAUUGCCAACCUCUUCAAUGCCCACUAGACCAUUUGAGUAACAGUGCUCUUUAAGGCUUCCCUCUUCCACUGACUUUAGCAAUAUGAAACCAAACUUAGCAAUGAAGAUGUCUGAUUAUAAAAAUCCAUAAAUCCAUACAUCCAUUCGAAUGCAGAUGUCUGAUUAUAAAAGUACUGAACCCCAUUCUUGAACCCCUCAAAUCCCUUGUGUUGAUGUCUUUGAAAGUUUCUUCACUGCUAUUAGUUUCUUGUCCAUCUAGCAAUAUGCCCUGGAAUAAACAGUCAGCUGAAACAAUACCUCGUAGACAGGGCCAUAUGCAUCCCACCCCCCCGCGCGGGGGCUUAUUUUUCAACCUUGUUAGUAAAUUCAUCAAUAGCUGCACAUUGGUAACCCUAUGGAUUUGGGGGGGAAUCCUGAUCAAUAGCUUGUUGCCAGAACAGAAAUAUAGUAGAGGAAAACCAGCUGCAGCUGUAAGGCAAGUGAUUGCUAAUAACACCACCUUGUUUUGUUUCUUUUUAUCAUCUUCCUCAGCUGCAAAAUUGAUUUACAGUGGUAACUAGAGGUGGCAUAAAGAUCAUAUGCCAUAUGCACAGAUUUUGAUGUUCUGCUGGUCAGAUUCUUGCUCUGAGAUACUGUCGACCACAACUUCAGCUAUGCAAUUGCAAUUUCUUUUAUUUUUUUGUUAUAUAUAUAUAUAUAUAUAUAUAUCAACCACCGAUGGUCGUGACAAAUCUAAAAGAGAAUUGAUUAUACAGCUCAAUACUGAAAAGAGAAAUUAGAAAUUUCUCUGGUUCUAGAUUUUUAAAAAAGAAAAAAGAAAGCUACAUAAGCAAGAGAGAAAAUUUGAUUAGUAUAACCAAAACUUUGGGAUCACAAAUGAUAAAAACAAGAAAAUUGAUUCAACAGUAGAAAAUUCAGUUAUAAUAGAGCGCAUCAUGGAAUCCCAAACAUAAUUUUCUUCUUUUAUGGAUACAGGCGGUUGAUACUACAGUUAAAUUACAGGCAUAUCUGAAAUCUGCAGUUCGGUUAGAGAGGCAGGACGCCGCGAAGAUGACACCAGGUCUGGACAUUCACUGACGAUUGUUAAUUUCUUGAGAGAGGUGAAUCUGUUCAGUCCCCACUCGAACAAUGGCUUUGAUAUCUUCAAAUCUUCAACCAUCUCCUCAAAAAAAAAAUCUUGAACCAUAAGUGAUUGGAGGUUGGAGGGAAUGUAUGUAAAAUCAAUCCCUACUAAAGUCUAGGAAUACUCAACAAAUAUCCACAGCAAUCCCAUUUUGAUUGCCCGCUAGAUAUAAAUUGUUUUUCAAAAAUGCUGUUUUCCAAUUUUUAGGUAUAAGAAAAUAUACAAAAAGAACAGGGGAAAAAAGCAUUUUUUCUUUUUCAAAAAUCAGGGAGGUUGGAAAAUUGAAAAUUUUAUUUAUUUAUUUUUUAUUUUUAUUUUUUUUUGGGAUGAGAAAUCUCACCCAUUAAAUACCAAUUCCAACCCUCUAUUGUUACUCAAACUUAGGUGACAGCAAAUGCAUUUUUAUUAUCUUUUUUUUGGGAUAUUCUUUUACCAUUUUUCCUUUAAUAACAAAUACUCUAGAAGACAUUCACGGUUUAAUAUGUUCAUAACAUAAAAUAAAUGUCUGAUUUAAACCUAAUUUGAAUCGGUUUGAAUGCUACUAUUACAUUCUUUUUACAUUAGUAUAUCUUUUGGCUGAUUUUCAGGUCGGAUUUCCAGUAGUCUAGUGAGUAUAUCAUAUUAUGAAAGCAUAGAAGAAAUCAUAAGUCAAGCUGGUGAAAAAGUAAAUGAGAAAUGUACCGCUUUCAGCGAAAUAAAACUUUGGGAGCUUAAUUAUUUACCAAGGUUUACAAUCUUUUGUUGGAAGAAUCACACUCUUGAAUGGAAUGAGUCUACAUGACACAUUGCCCGAAUAUGAGAACUUUUUCUCAGUGAGUCUUAUGCACGCCAAAGUUACACAAAAUGCGAGCUAAGUGACUGAAAAAUGUUGGAUUCUUAUUGGAUUUAGCACCAACAUUUGAUUUAUGUGUUUCAAUUAUAGCUUAUUUGAUUAGGGUAAUUAAUUUCAAUUAUAGCUUAUUUGACAAUUUGGAAAUAAAAUGGAGCGAUCAUCAAUCUUGUCCAUAAAAUUAAAUACGCUUUGGAGGACAGUGGAGAUUAGAUAUUUUCAUUUAAUAGUUCAUUUUGGUUGAUUUAUUUUUCAGUUUUCAUAAUGCCUGAUGAGACUACUCAAGAGUCAGAGUCAACAAUAAGAUUGUAGGAUUGGGCUUGAAUUUUGGUAUUUGAACUUGUUCUGUUCCUGCUAUUUACUUCUUGUCAUCUUUGAUGUCCUCCAUGUGCUUGGACAUGUGGAACUUAUAAGUGCCAAGCGUUAUUUGUUUGAAUCAACAGAAAAGCAUAAAUCAAGUUAUUAUUUAUCUUUCUUUUAUUAUGGCACUUUCAGUUUCUCUGUUUUGUGAAAUUCUCUUUUUGUGAUUUUGGUCAUUUGCUUUUUAUCAAAGUAUCUAUUAGUCUCCACCCAUUCAAAUUUUGGUUUAUCUUUAUUAAUUUUAGCCACUUAGCUUUACUAAAUACCAAUUCUAUGUAUAUGCUGCAAAAUGAACCCUAAGAUAAGAUCAUGCAGACAUACAAUUGAGAAAAUUUGAAUAUCAGGAUUUUCAAACCAAUAAUACAUAUAAUAAUUUCUCUUUUCCUUCAACAUAUCUCUAGUUUAGUUAUCAAUUGAUUAUCUGUUUACAAUUAGAAUAAUGUUAAGAUCCUAACAUUUGAUUCUCAACCAAUGUGGUAUCUACCUAUUGGAUGGCAGAUAAGUAGCUUUGCUAGUUAUAAAAUUUAUCGUAUACAAGAUGAAUGACACAUAACAUUAAGACGCAAGUUUAAAUACUUUGUAUUAUUAUUACGAAAUACAUAUUCCUGUGGAGAUAUCAACCCUUAGACAUAAUUGUGAGAGGGAAAAUAUUUUGAGUAGUAGAGACUAUAAAAUUUUCCUUUUUUUUUUUUGGGUUGAAAGAUGAAAAAUGAAUAAGACAAAAAAUCUUCAGAAACUGAACAAGUCUAUUUUGCAAUUGUGAAUUAUUUGCGAUUGUGAUUUGUGAUGAGUAAAGUAAGCAAGAGCGUGUAAUAAUGUGCAACAGAAAAACAGGCUUUGCCAUCCAAAAUUUAUUGUUUUCACUUUUCUUUAAAUUUUCCAUUUUCCAUUAUUGCGAAAUUGCCAAAACAAAAUUGCAAUAUUUGAAUUUAUUUUGAAAUUGAAAUUACACAUAGAUUGGAGCCCUACAGCAGCACUACUAGUUACAUGGAGUUUGUCUACAGCAGCACUACUAGUUACAUUAAAAAAAAAAAAAUCCAAAUGGAGUUUGUCUAUAGAUUCCUACUAGAUUUCAGAUUACAAUGUAUAUAAAUAGUGUAACAAUUUAAAAAAAGAAAAAGAAAAAAGAAAAACUCAAGGGAACAGUUGCAAAAGGAAAAUGAUGGAGAGCUAUAUAAUUUUUAUUUUGUUACAAAGAUAAUAUAUAAUUAAUUUGCAGGUGGCGUGGGGUAUGCACAAAGGCAACUUAAGAGCACUUUAGGCCGCAGACCAGCAACCAGAAUCUCUCAGAUUCAAAAAUAAUUUCAUAGCUACAAUGACUAUUCUGCUAAUAUAUGAUAUGCAUUUUGUUUAAAUACCUGUGAUAAAAACCUGCAACACCAAGGUUUGCCAUAUAAUGCAGAGUGGAGAUUUUCAUCAUGAGGCCAUUCUAGUCGGAAGCAACAUGGUAAUCAUCCUAAUAAUCUUUCCACAAGUAAGACAAGUAAAUGACAGCUUUGUACAUGUAAAUUGCGAUAGUAAAUUGCGAUCAAACCAAAUCCCUUUUGUUGAUGUGUCUGAAAGUUUCUUCACUGCUAUUUCUCGUCCAUCUAGCAAUAUGCUCUGGAAUAAAAGUACAAUCAACACGUGUUCAAGGUUUGAACUCAAGACUUUGGAUUUGAUACCAUAUUAUUUAAACAGUCGGAUGAGAUACUAUCACACCGACAGGGACAUAUCCACCCUCCCCAAGCUUAUUUUUUAACCUUAUUACUAAAUUCAUCAGUAACUGCAGAAUUUGAUACUUUGCUCUUUGUUUCUUUAGCUGAGUCCAAUAACCCUAUUGAUAAUUAAAAAAAAAAAAAAGAUACAGAAUCCUGGUCAGUAACUUGUUCCCAGAACAGAAAUAUACAGCAUAGGAAAGUAGAGAAAACCAGCUGCAGUUGCAGGGCAAGUGAUUUCUAAUAAACCCAACUCGUUUUGUUUCUUUUUAUCAUCUUCCUGAGCUGUAAAAUUGAUUACAGUGGUAACCAGAGAUGGCAUAAAGAUGUUGAUGCAAAUCAUUUUCAAUCUAUUACUUUAAUAAAAUAUAUUUUGGUGUUUGAUCUGUCAGAUUCUUGCUCUGAGAUAUUGUAGACCACAACUUUAGCUAUGAAACUGCAAUUUUUUUUUAAUAUAUUCUGAAAAGAGAAAUCAGAAAUUUCGAUGGUUCCAGAUUUUUAAAAUAGCAAGAGGGAAACUUUAAUGUGUUAAAUUAAUAUAACUCUAACUAAAUUUCAUCGUAUGUCCUUUUGUUCUGGCUAAAUAAAAAUCCUGCAAGCAAUUAAAAAAGCAAUAAACUAACAAUUUUGGCAGGCCAUUGAAAAGCAAUAAACUAACAUUAUAAAAUCAUUGAUUAAUUUAACUAGCUGCAUACAAACUCAGAAAUGAACUUGGAUUAAACAGCUUUACUUAAUAAUAGAGGAUGAUAAAACAGAUUCCUUAGAAUCAUUAAUUAAAGCUUUGCUUUCUUGCAGCUUGCGAGAGCACCCAAUUAUCGUGAUUGCCACGCAAUAUAACCAAGCAGCUCCCUUUCCUUGGCAUGAGAAACCUUUUUAAUGUCUUCACAAUGUAACUCUUGAUGCCUUAUAGAUCAUGUCUCAUGCAUCUGUAAUUGCCGGCACUUUUGUUGGUGCAUCAAUGCUAUAUCCUCAGGAUUCACCAGAAUCCAAGCAUAUAUCUUUAAAAAGGAUCACCAAAACCAGCUCAUCAGCUGCAUGAUCUCCAGUAGAAUCUACGCUCUGAGGCACGUACCUUUGUUCUGAUUGUGGACGACCUCAUGAGAUUCAUAUACUUGAUGAUGAUGAGGAUUUUGGUCCCAAAUUUGGACAAAUACCUCCUAAAGAAUCUAUGCAUUCAAGUGACAGCAAUUCCAUGGAAAGUGAUCCUAGUGAAGAUAGUUUUCACUCUGGCCCUUCCUCCUUUGACCCUAGGAUCACCACCAAUCCUGCCAUUGUUCAUGCUGCCAUUACCGACCACCAGCCGCCGCCACACGCGCCCUCACGCGCCGUCACCAGUGGAGCUCCUCCUAAUACUCUUCAUGAUCUUCCUAUUUUUGUUACAGCCUCUGUUCGCUCUUUCCUCCAUCUGCCUCUUUUGCUCCUAAUCUUGCCCAUCUUGAGGCCACCAUUUUGAAACAAGGACAAGAUAUUGCUAAUCUUUCUACUCGUUUGGCCAAAUUGCAUGCAAAACUACUUCCCUUUUGUAAUCUUUUGGCAAAAGAGAGGGAGUAAUUUGUUUCAAGUCUUCAAUUGCUCAAUGCAAUGAGUUAGGGGGAGUAGUAUUUUCCAUUCUAGGGAGAGAUUUUAUUCAAGAAUUUUUAAUUUUUGGAUUCUAGUUCUUAGGGAGAGUUUAUAUUUUUAUUGCUCUUAAUUUUCUGCUUAAUGUUGUCUUUCCAUUUAUUGAUCAAUAAAAUUAGCAUUUUAUUUUAAUUCCUGCCUUGGUUUAUUUUCAUGAACUAACAUGCUAAUUGUCAAUUAUUUUGGUUAGUUCCUUGUUGUUGUUUAUACUUGUCCAAGUCCAUAUCUUAGCGCCAAAGUUCAUGGAAGACUUGUGUUGGAUUGCUUUUGCCACAAGAAUGCCAAGGGGGAGAUUGUUAAGUCCAUUAUUUAUAGAGUUGGCAUUUUAUGGCAAGUCUAGUUGGUAGUGUCGUUAAGGUGCACCAAAUUUAAAACCUUACCACUAAUAUAAAUAAUUAGUACAGAGCGAGUAAGGAUCGAUCCCACAGGGACUAUGCUAGUUAUAUUUAUUAUUAACUCUAAAGCAAGAUUUGAAAUAAAAUAAUAGUAGUAAUAAUAAGAGUAAUAAUAAUAUAAAUUAAUCUAACUAAAGAAAAUGCCAAUUAUAAAUAAAAAGGGGGUUUAUGAAUUUUUAACUAAUAAGAAGUAAAGAAAUUAAAACUACGAACAAGAAUUUAAUAAAAACUCUAAUUAAAUGAGAAAGAAAUAAUAAUGAUGAAAACUUUGGUUAAAGGAUCAUUCGCCACCACCAAACAUGCACAUAAUAUAUCAAUUCUAUUAUCAAUUUAUAUUGAAACUAUCAACCGUAGACAACAAUAAGCUCUGUUAGUCUCAAUCUUUCCUUAGUGUGUUGUUAGGCAAAACAAGCUCUUCACCUAAUCUCUAACCAUUAAAUAAUUUAAAACAAGCUCUUUAAAUUUAAGAUAAUGGAAGCAUUAAACAAAGAAAGAUAUUAGGUUGAUCUAGGCAAUAAACACACAAGCUCGGAUUAUUUAACCUAAGUUAUGUUCUUCAAUUGAAAUCACUAAUUCCAACAUGCUACUAAUGAUUAAAAUAUCAAGACAAUUACGGAUAAAGAAUUUUAAUCUAGCAAUAAAAUUUAUUCAAGUCCUAUCUAAUUGGCCACUCAAAUAAAACAAGAAUAAAUCAUGAACAUUAAUUAUAGAAAAACAUAAACAAUCUCAAUUAAAUAAAUUGAAUGAUAUAAUUUAAAUUUAAUUGCAUAGCAUGUUUAGGGUUUUGAAUUCACCCUCAACCAAAUAAAAAUCUAGCCUAACAUAAUUGAAUUAGGAAUAAGAGAAUUGAUAAAACCAGUCAUGGAAAUUAAUUCAAGCGGCUGCCUUUUUCUUCAAUUGAAUUCCAGCUGCUGAUUUUUUUCCCUUGUUUUUUUUUCCUUCUUGCGGCUGCAAUCUCAAAUUCUCUUGCUGCCGAUUCUCCUCUGCCCGAAUUGCGUCUCCUGCACUCUUUCUGUUUCCGUCCAGCGGCUCCCUCUUCUCCAAAAGCCAACACUCCCUUUUAUAAUCUUUAAAAUGGGCCCCACCUCUUAAAUCCUAAAGCCAAAAGGCUUGUUGUUUUAUUUGCUUUUUUUAUUUGCUUUAGCUCUCACACGUGCCCACCAUAAGCCAUAAAUUGUUUCCUCUUUUAAUUGCUCAACACGGGCCCACUUAUGCAAAGCCUAAUCAAGCUUCAUUUAAUCCUCAUGUGCUGGCCACUUUUAAAGCUAAUAUCACUUUCUCCUCUUUGUCCGCAUGUGGAUGGUGAAUGCAUUUGUUGAGUUCGGUUUCCUUGGCUUGAAUUAACAUGCAUAUAAGCAUAAUUGCUUCCAAGUUAAUUAAUCUUUAAUGCUCACAAAUUGAACUCCUUUAUGCUCUUUUUAUCCAUAAUCUCCAAUUAAUUCCUUAUUCAACAAAAUAAUUCAAUUAAUUAAAAAUAACUAGUAAUUAAAUAAUUAAGGGUAAAAUAUGUAUAAUUUAAAAAUUAACUAAAACAACUAGAAUAUUUAAGACCAAAACAAGAAAAAGAUGAAGAAAUUAAUUGCAAAAUAUAUGGAAAAUAUGCACUUAUCACUAGUUAAAUUGGAAGUUUAUUUAUUGCAUAUCUUGUAAUAGGGAUUAAUUUAUUAAUUCCCUAAUUUAGUGAGAUUCCAAUUUAUUAGGAAUAUUUGUUUCCUAAUUUAAUUAUAUAUCUAUUUUAGCAAUUCAAUUAAUGGUGAGAUUCUAUAAUUGGCGCAUGAGAUCUAUUUAGAGUAAGAAGUUGGUUCAAACAAGAAGUCAUUAAAUGCUCUAGAUAUUUCUUAGGAGACAAGUAAGGCAAGAAGAUCAUAUUUAAUCCUAUUCAGAUUCAUGGGAAUUAUAAGAGGAAAGAAACUCUUAUUUGCAAAGAAUUCAAGUCUUUUAAGACUUGCUAUUUUGGUGAAACCCUAGUGCCUAUAUAAAGAGAGAUAUUUCACAAUUGAAGGGUGAUCGCACAACACAGAGCAUAAAGCAGAGAAGCAAAAUUCGGUCUCCUCCGCAAAGAAUCUGGAUUUGGCGCAUAAUGUUGUGUUCAUUUGUUUUCUUAUCUUCUUUUCAUCUCUGUGGAGAGUCUAUAUGGAUCUUUGAUCACUAGACAUUGAAGAAUUGCUAUUGAUCACUUUGCAAAGUGCAUUAAAGAUCGUGGAUCAAGAGGGGUAGUAAUUAUUCAAGAGAAGCAGAUUCAUUCUAAGGUUGAGUAAACUGUAUGGUGAUAAACUGUAAGUGAGAGUCUUAAGUUUGGUAAAUCCAUAGGUUGUAACAUCUCAACUCAGUGAAUUGCUUUUCAUCGGGGCGUGGCCUCGUGGAUGUAGGAUUGAUUAAUCUGAACCAUGUAAAAAUCUCCGUGUCAUUUAUUUUCUGCAUUUUAUUGUGUUUUUGGAAAAUUAAUAUUUUUAUGCGGAUGAACAGUAAACGUGAACAGUAAACAUGAACAUUAAACGUAAACAGCUGCGGUGAAAAGUAACAGCGAACAGUAACAGUGAAUAGUACUUCCGAAAAAAAUUAAUUAAGUAAUUAAUUUUUUUAUUUUUAAUUGCCUACAUUUAUUUUCGAUAGAUCUAAAUUCCUAUCACAAGUGACCACUGACCAACACACAUUAAAGUUGGGCAAAUAACAGUGAAAAAAAUGCUUGAAUUUGUUCAAUCCACCAUAUUAAUCCAUAAUAUUUCUCAUUUCAUAAGUCAAUAAGUAGAAAACUUUUGAAUGGGAAAAAACAAUUUGCAACACGAGAUUAGAGAUAAUUUGAAGAUUUGAAUGACUGAAAUACCAAUUCAAGAAAGCUAGCUAUCACAUAAUCAACAUUAUCAUAUUAAAAAAAAGAAAGAAAGAAAGAAUCCUAUCAUGUAACCUUUAAUAAAUAAAACCAUUUCACAUACUUAAAACCAAAUAAUGAAGGGAAAGAAAUAGUUUAAAACGCAGCGUACCAAAUAAUAAAAGACUUUAAAACAAGGGUUAAUUUCGGCUUAUCCCUUUUGCGAAGUGACAAUCAUCAAAUCGCCCCCUUAUUAUUGAAAACAUCAAGUUACCCUAAGACUUGUUAUCUCUCUGUUAUUUUUAAAAGGUAAAAGGAUAAAAUAGUAUUUGAAUAUUUUCCUAACAGUCAAUUAACGGACAAAGGUCAAACCUAGGGAGACUAAUUUUCAUGGGUCCAAAUCUUUCUAGGUUUUUUAAAACACAAACAAAUAUUUUAAAUAUUUAUAAUAUGCUCUCUAAUACUUUAAAAUAUUUCUAUUUUGUGCCUAUAUGACUAAUUUUUUUGAACGGAUUAAACUUUACCUUUUUGUAUUUAAAAAUUUUAUUUUAAAAAAUAAAUAUAGAAAUUAAUUAAAAGCGACAAAUGAAAAAGAAAAAUAUUUUACCUUUUUUCAUUUUUUAUUAUUAUCAUUAUUAUUCUUUUUUCAUUUUGUAAAGGUAUUUAAAAAAAUAUACAUAUAAAAAAAGGAAAAAUCAAAGAACAAAAAAAAAAAAAAAUGCUACUGGAGUUUUACCAAAUACCUUCACCACACACAACCUAGAAAUCUUCUAGUUCUUAGCUUAUUCACUAGACUCAAAAUAUUAAGAAAAACAAAUCACAUAAAUUAGAAGGACAGCAGACUCCACUUUUUUUAAUCCAUUCCCACAAACGGCCAAACCAAAACCGAAAGCCGCACACCUUCCAUCAUCCUAAUUCAUAUAGCACUAUUGUUGAUGCAUCAAUUUGGAUAGGAUUUUAACAAAGUUCACUCUGGCUAUUGUUUCUUUAUUUCUCUUUCUCCUUCUUUUCCUAACUUUUUUUUCCUUUCAAAAUUCAUCAUUGCUGAAGGUAGCUUUAAAAACUCACUUGCACAACACACACAACCAUUUAAUUCUACCUUCUUUUGUUAAUUUCAACAAAAUUUAAUACUCACUCUUAUAUUUUAUUUUGCAAAUGACUUUCACCCAGUAUUUUCAAUUUCCCUAAUGGAUGAUUGGUUGUUCUGGGUUUUGGAUUUUAUAGAUUUUGAUUUCUGGGUUUUGGAUUCUAAUAUGUAGAAAUUAAGUUUUAAUUUUGAUUUAAUGUGAGAUUAGAUUUGAAUAAUGGUUGUGUGGUUGUCAUGUACAUGAAAGGAAAAAAAUGAAAAAAAAAGAUGAAGGAGUAAGGAUGAGAAAAAAGCAAAUGAAAGAAAAAGACGAAGAAAAAUGAAAGAAAAUGAAAAAUGAAAAAAAAAAGACGAAAGUGGCAUGGCUUGUAAUUUUGAAAUUUGAUCUUGGUGGCAUUAUUGUGAUUUACAUACGAUGAUAUGUCUUAUAAUUUGCUUAACUAAUAUGUUUAAUUUAAGAAAUCUAUCAAUUUAUUUAGGUCCAUUAAGUUAUUUCAACAAUUAUUUUCUAAUUUUUUCUUCACUGUUUACAUAUUAAUAUUUUAAUAGUUAAUUUUUUCAUUUUUCAAUGACUAGUCAUACAUCAACUAAUUUUUUUUUUCCAUUUUUCAAUGACUAGUCACACAUUAACUAUUUCUUUUAAGCCUUACAAUGCUGUUACAAGAAUAUUCUAUUAGUGUAUGGGGUACUUUCGUACUUUUAUGAGUUAACGGCGGUCAAUGGUUAAAGAUAACGAGUUUUAGGGGGUAAUUUGAUGUUUUCAAUAAUAAGGGGGUGAUUUGAAGAUUGUCACUUCAUGAAGAGGGUAGCCCGAAAUGAACCCUAAAAACAAUAGCCUCAAGUCCUUAACUAUGUGGAAGACUUUUAAUUUUUAGUCAGAAGAUAAUUAAUACCCAUAAAAUAAUCGGCACAUAAGAGAAAUGUAAGCUUAAGACUUUUUUUUUUGAAAAAAAAAAUUAAAACGUAACUCGCCAAAUAAUAGAAGACUUAAAGACAAAAGGCUUAUUUUGUAUAGAAGACUUUAAUUUUUAAUCACAAGACAAUUAACUCAACAGCAGAAAAGUCAAUUACAUAAAGCGCAUCAUGGAAUCCGAAACAUAAUUUUCUUCUUUUAUAAAUAAAGGCAGUUGACACUACAGUUAAAUUACAGGUUAAAAAAAAUACUCAAUCUAGUUUAGUUUAGAAAUUGAAAUCUAGUAUCAACUGGAAUCACUGGAUCAGUCAGUCUACUUCAAAAAUUGAUCUGUGAUUAAUAUCUAACACAAGGUAUACGGGUAAUCAUUGGCCAAUAUUUUCCUUUAUCCUUUAUGCACCUUUUCUCUAUCAACGGGCACUCAUCGAUAAUUAGUCGCAAAAGUGAUUUAGGCAGGCCCUGUUUUGAAAAGUAUUUGAGCUUCGGACAAUUAUCGAGAUCUAGAAAUUUCAAUGAAGUGAGGUUUUCACCAAUUGAAGACAGGCGUUCCAGACUUGGCAUAUCUGAAAUCUUCAGUUCGGUUAGAGAGGCGGGAAACCGUAGAGAUGACACCAGGUCUGGACAUCCUCCGCUGAUUUUUAAUUUCCUGAGAGAGUUGAAUCUGUUCAAUCCCCACUGGAACAAAGGCUUUGAUAUCUUCAGAUCUUCAAACUCAAGCGAUUGGAGGUUGGUGGGAAAACCAUCCUCUGGGAAAGACACCAAGCUAGGGCAUCGACCUAUUUCUAAAUGUAGAAGAGAGGUGAGAUUGUGCAUGCUGUUGGGUAACGCCUUCGGAUUCUCACAACUCCAGAUCAUGUGCUCAGUCAGUUUCGCAGAAGGCAAUCCUUCUUCGGGAAAUGACUCAAGAUUUGGCCAUCCAUCUACCCUAAUCUUUUCAAGAUGGUGGAGAUUAUGCAAACCGACGGGUAAUGAUUUAAGAUGUUCAAGCCAUGAAAUAGUGAUUUCUUCAAGGGAUGUGUUGUCCAACCUUUCUGCUAACGACUCCAGCUUUGAACAGUCUCUGAUCUUGAGGUACUUAAGAGCCUGAGGUAGAUUCCUAUUCCAAGACAAGAAAGCAAGAUUCGAGCAAGAACUGACCUCAAGGUGCUCCAGCGUGGCAGGUAACUCGUUUUCUGAAGAAAAUGAUGUGAGGCAGGUGCACCCACUGCUGCUACCGCGGAUGUCCUGUUCCCCUGUCAAAGACCUUAAAUUAUCACAUCUAAAGAUAAUCAGCCGUUUCAAGCUCGGAGGUAGCUCGAUUCUAGAAAUAUAUGUCAAAGAAUCACAGCUAUCAAUGGCCAGACUUUCAAGAGAUGUACUGCUAUUUUGCAUCCAUGCCUCAGGUAAGGAUACCAAAGCAUCGCAUCCUUCUAUUGUAACUGAUCUCAGCUGGGACGGCAGAGCAAAAUCUGGAAAUGAAACAAGUGAAUUACAACUCCGAAUCUUCAAACUCUCAAGAGAUGAAUUGGAGUUGUGCAUCCAUGCCUCAGGUAAGGAUUCCAAAGCAUUGCAAUCUUCAAUUUUAACUGUUCUCAACUAGGAAGGCAGAGCAACCUCGGGAAAUGAAACAAGUGAAGUGCAGCCAUAUAUCCGCAUCUCUGUAAGGGAACUAAGGGUGAGCAAUGCUUGUGGUAGCCUUGUAAGGCCUUCACAAUUACGCAAUUCCAAAAAUUGAAGCCUGCACGGCAACUCCGGCUGUUGCUGGUCAUGUUCUUCUUCUGUUACCAAGGAAAGAAGUUGGGGACAUCUUGAAAUCUGCAACCGAUUGAGGGACUGAUGGUUGUCGAAGCCAACAAAAAUAAAUUCCUACUCUAAAUAAAUUGUGUAUAGUGAUUGAGUAGGGUCGUGUCCACAGAGAUCGGUAAUUAUUUAAAUCCUUUUGAAACGUAAAACGUAAAAUGGGGGAAUUGUUGACAAUAAUAAAAAUCAAAUUAAAAUAACAAGAAUGUAAAUUAAAGUUGUAAUUCAAAUUGGAGAAAGCUCUGGUUGAAGGAAUUAACUCAGCUUGAUUCGACUACUGAUCAUUGAUUCAAAUAUAGAUUAUUAUUACUCAUGAAUAGACCGGUUAUAGCUACUGAGACCCUCUAAUAGCCAAUCUCUCCUUAACUAGUCGAUAACCAAGGUACGACCGUUGGUUAUUUCCCUAAUCAAUAGACAACCCUAGAUACGAUCAUAGGAUUUAAUCAAUUGACAGCCUGAAAAACCAGAGAGACCCAAAUCCUAAUCAACACAUAUGAUGAUUCAUUUAAAUUAGAUUGUUUAUUCUCACAACACAACUCUCUGCUAUGUUAUUUGUCACAAACAUUAAAAUCUUCAUACGAUGAAUCCUUUAAUUGACAAUAGAUUAAGUUGAUAAUUAAAUAGUGGCCAAUUACCUAAUUAACAAACAUAAUCAUGAAACUAAUUCAGAGAAUAAACAAAUACUCAAAAAGUAAUAAAACAAUUAAAGUAUAAGAAAGAUCUCACAGUAGUGAUGAAUCAAAGCUUCGUUAACCUUCAACCAGAAAAUUAGUUUAGUUCUUCAUAGAGAAGAGAAAAAUUAGAUCUAGGGUUUCUUUCUUUUUCUCCAAUCUCCCCCCUUUUUCACAAUAGAUUCCUCCCUUAAAUACCUUUUCUCUCUUCUCUUUUAGAGUUCUAUUUAAAAUAAAAUAAUAAUAUCUUAAAUAUUAAAUUCGUAAUUACAAAAAUAGCCAAAAAUACAAAACACGUUAAACUAAAAACUGCAGGUCCGCAGUUGACAGCACGCGCCCACGCCUUAUCAACAAAGUUCUUCUGCCGCUCAUAAUUUCUCCAAGGGAACAAUAAUCCUUAAACAUCAUCUUGUAGCUUAAUUUUAUCACCAAUCAAUAGAAUUGCACCUACAAAAGUAAAUCACAAGUAAAUCACUAUAAUUAAGUGCAAAACAUCGAUAUUAAGGGAAGUAAACAAUGCAAAACUAGUGCAUAAAUUGCACUCUAACAAAUUCCCCCACACCAAGAUGAUGCUUGUCCUCAAGCAUAUAACUCAAGAUUAAUCUCAAAUCUCCACUCAAUUCUCAUCUCAACUCAUCCAAAAACAAUUUUAAGCAAGCAUACUUCAGGAAAUUAAGUCGAUCAACAUUCGAGAGACAAGGAUUUUAAAGCAUAGAAUUUCAUAAGAUAGAAUAAGAACAUUCAACCACCAAGAAGAUCCAUUCAAAAUUCAAGUACAACAAGAUUUAAUAGCCCUCUCAAUAACUUCGCUCCAUGCACUCAAAGUGUUUAGGGUGUCAUUUAUCCACUCAAAUCAAAUCAAAGAAUGCUAUUACCAUAAACUUGCUCAUAUAUCACAUCUCAAUCCACAAAACAUGAAUAAAAUGCAAAAAUCUAAGGGUCUUAAAAGGGUUGUAAUGGGGUUAAAUAGGUGAAAUGAAAAAAAAGGUCUAUGAAAGAAAAAGAGAUCAAAAUGAGAAGAAUGAACUCAUUGAAUGAACUUAUGAUAUCAAAAUGCUUAUUCCUACUCAAGUCACCAAGAAUGUAAACUUUUUUUUUCGAUUUUUCUUUUUCUUUUUCUUUCUUUUUUUUCUUUUUUUUGUUUUUGAUUUUUUUUUUAAUCAAACAAAAGAAACGAACCUUGCACAAUUUAAUUCAAGCAUAAUGCUUGUUGAUCUAUUUGAGAAACUUUAAUACAAGGUAGAAAAAGCAACAAAAUAUAUCUACACAAUGAGUCCAAAAAUCUCCUUAAAUUGAGGCUCAAAAAGAAGAAAAAUGGUUAAGUCAACGGAGAGAAUUAGAUGGGUAAUGGUUAAGGCUCAAACAAAGGUAGCAAAUAAAGGUCUUCGGGUAGAGCAAAAAAAAUGCGAGAAAAGAAAAAUGGAAUAUGGUUUGCCCUUAUCAUUUUAAUGCAUAAAAUCCCGUAAUGUGGCUUCAACAUGCAUAACAAAGCAAGUUCUAGAAUAAACAAACUAGGAUUGAUAUUCACAUAACAAAAAAUAAUUAGAGCAAAGUGGUUGCUCAUAGGCUCAAAUCCUCACAAAAUUGGUAAAUUUGCCAUCAAAUCAUGUACACUCUUCAAAUGAAUCAACCAUCAAUAGUGGUGUAGAAUGAGAAGAAAGUAUGAGUGAGAUAUAAAAGGAAAGGUAAAAAAAUGUGAGUGAUGAAAGAGUAUGAUAGAAAGAAAAAAAAAUAGAUGUAAAGAAUUUGAGAUAGAUGGGAAAAGAGUAGUGAGAGAGAAAGGAAAAGAAAAUUAAUAAGGAUGAUUAGAGUGAAAAUAGAUGAGUAGAGUGAAAAUAAUUCCAGACAUCAAUAAUGCAAAAAUCCCUCCCCCACACCAAGAACUUACAUUGUCCCCAAUGUAAGAUAAUCAAAGCUCACAUAAAAAUUAAAGCGUAAGGAUAAAAGAUUAAGGGCAAAAAGAAACUUCCCUGAAUUGUGAGCUUUGAUCCAUAUAACGUCUAUGGGCUUGGCGGAAAUGGUGGGGUAAAUCCCACACUCUCGAAGUAUGUGGCCAAAUUCUGUUCCAUCUUGUUCAGCUUGUGCUCCAUUUUCUCUAACUGAAUGCUCAAAGGUGGUGCAGAUGUAGAAGGAGUAAUUGGCGGGGUAGUAGUGUCGUCGUCAAACUCGUCAUCAGAGGUAGCACCACUCCUAGCAUAAAGCUUCUUCGGAAGUUGAGUGGGUCCUGGUUCAGUAAACUGAAAUCUCCCCUCCUUGAAUUCGACCACACAUGUUCUUUCAAACACAUACAUAUCCAAAAAUUCCUUUUUGCAAGCAGGAUGCAAAUCAUUAUUGUCGGGAUCAAGCACACAUAGGUUUAUAGCUAACAUAGUAAUGUAUGGACCAAGAAAUAAAGUCCUAUACCGUUUAAGCACACUUUGAAAUUGAUCCGCUAACCAAAAACCUAAAUUAGGUCUCAUAUCAUUUAACAUGCACCAGAUAAAAUAAAAUUCAGUUUUAGAGAAAACUCCUGAGUGAUCUUUCUUGCCUAAAAAAUUAGAUGCUAAGAAUCGAUGCACACAUUUCAAAACAGGAUCACGUAAGAAAGAACUCUUUGAUUUACUCGGGUCAUAAGCAUUGUGAUCAACAGAUAAAUUACGCCAAAGACCAUAAGGCUCAAAAUUUUCGCUAAAGUCACAAGUUGUUCCUAAAUAUUCAUCACUAGUAGAAUAAUCAUCAUCAAUGAAUCCUAAAGCUAGGUUAAAAUCCGUGAUAGAGUGUGAAAAAUUUCGUCCCAUUAACCUAAACUUAAUGACAUCCGGGGUAUGCACAGUAAAAUCAUUCGGCUUAAUAAAUUGAAAAGUAGCAUAAAACUCCCUAAUCAACUCAACAUAACCCAAACAAUCAACAUCAACAAACUUACGCAACCCAAUCUUAUCUAUCAAAGAAUCAAAAUUAUCCUUAACAUUCAAUUUUUCAAGAGUCAGGUAAUGAAUAUACUUAGCUGGAAGUAUUUUGCGCGUGGAAAUAUCUUUGUACCUCUCUUUCUCUUGUUGAGUCGCGAAUGCGAGGCACCCUCCGAGAUUGGAUUCCGCAAGUGGCAAAACACUCAUGCAUUUUCCAUGCUUCGAUCUUUGUCUCACGGCUUGGCGUGAAUCUGAAAUUGUGUUCCAUGGAACUGUAGUGGGAGCGCAAUCUUAGAUUUCUUUGCGACGGGUGUCUUUUUCGAUGACUUGGAAGUAGAUGCUUUCCUCUUCGGCAUUGUUACAAUAAUUGCACUCACGGAUUUCGAUUUACCCGGCUCGAAUACAGGGCGUAGGCUGGUUGUGUUGCGUUGCUGCUAGGCUGGAGCUCGCUGCGCGGCUUGGGGCUGGUUGCGCACUGCUGGUUGCGUGCGGGAUGCUGGUGCACUGCUGUGUUGCGCGCGCGGGGUUCCGUUGCGCGCUGCUGAGGCUUGCUUUGCGGGUGCUCGAUGCUGGUGCUGCGAGCGUGGGGGCUUGGGUUGCAGAUCUGUUGCGCUGCGCUGAGGCUGAUUCGCGCUGCUGCUGGUUGCGGUGCGUUGCGCUGCGCGCGCGGGACUGAUGCGCUGCGCUAUGGUGAUGGCUGGAGCGUGCUACGCGUGGGCUGGUUGCGUUGCAGGUGGGACUGAUGCGGCUGCAGCUGGUUCUGCGCGCUGGAGCUAAGGGUUGCUGCGGGAAACGAUAAUCAACAGUGAAUUUUUUUGAAUUAGGGAUUUGUGAACAGUGAUUUGUGAUUUUUGUUUUUGUUUUUGUUUUUUUUCGUUUUUUUAAAUAUAUAUAUAUAGAAGAAAGAAAGGAAGGGAAAAAAUCUUUUUUUUUUUCAUUUUUUUAUAAAUAAAUAAAAAAUAUAUAUAAGAAAGAAAAUAAAGGAAAAAAAACUCUUUUUAUUAUUUUUUUAUGAUGAAUCACUUUAAGACACCAAAAAUUUCAGAAGUACUUUUCUAAUAAGCACGUGGGCACGCCUUAUCAUUAUCAACUGUGUUCUGUAGUUUUACACGGUUGCCAACCAUUUAGUGUCGGGUCAAUGUGUUUAGUCUUUAAGAUUCACAUAAAUGCUUUAUUUUGGCUGCUUAUCAGUUUUAAUUUCAUUAAUAGAAAGCGUCAACAAUGAAGCUGCAGGAUAGGGCUUGAUAUUAGCAUACAUUGAAAUGAUAAAGUAAUGGUUCCAUAAUGUUAAAACAAGAAAAAAAAAAGACAUAAAUUUUGUGAUAGAUCAACUGCAAUGACUUGGUGAUUGGCAAUAACUUGUUAUUUUUGUUAUAAAAAAAAUCUUAGAUCUGUUAUACAUAGUCUCUUUGCAUUAAAUUUCUACAAAAUGUUGUUAGAUUGAGCAGAAAUAUAAGUUGCCACUGCUGUUGAAAUCAAGUAUAUAGUAGUAUGUUUUGCAGCAUGACAGUGUUUGACAAUUAGAACCAUAAUUGUUUGACUCUACUUAUGUUUGUGUUUACAUUAUCUUCGUGACUUAGAUAUAUUCACUAUAAGUUGUAUACUAAUACGAUAUUUUUAUUAAUAAAGGGAAAUUAACCCAAGCCUAAAGAGAUAGUUGAUAGUGAAUCCGGUAGCAGCAGCUUUGGCAGCGAGAGUGUUCAUUAAGUACGUAGUAGCACCAGAGUCCAAACUAAUCCCUUACGACAUAUUUUGAAGUGAUCAGAUGAUACAUCACAUUUCUUAUGUAAGCCCUAAAUUGUUGAGAUGUUGUAUCAUCUUUUACUUGGUUUUAUUGAGGUUUUUGUAUAUUAUACUUAUAAACUCACUCCAUUGACAAGGCUAGUCUUGCCUCUGUUAGUGUUUAUCUUAGUAAACUGUUAUUAGUUGCUCACAUGUAAAUAUGGACUACUGUUGAGUUGUAAGGCUAAUUGGAUGACAACCAUUGAUGACUGACUACAUUAAUAUCGUUGUUGGAAUUUGUUUAUAUGUACCACAUGGCUGAGCUAUGUUUCUACAUUUAAGUGCUUGUAUUUGCCUAUGUGGAUUAUAUCACUGCUGAAAUUCUUUUAAAUACAUCACAUGGUUGAGCCAUGUUUUUAUAUUUCAACGGACGUAUUUGUAUUUAUGUCUAUAUUGAUGUUGAUAUUCUUUUAUAUAUAUAUCACAUUCAAGGGAUUAGGAAAUUGUUGUUGAUUGAUUUAUUUUAUAAUUAUUGCAUUAAUCUUCUUAACUGUUUGUGUCUUGAUUCUAACUUGCCAAAGUGAUUUUGCUAUUGAAUAUGGUAUUCUGAAGGAAAUUAAUAUUUGGUUCACUCAUUCUAUGCCCUUUGCCUGCCUUUGUGUUAGAUUGCAAGUUAUGUUGGACCAUAGGAUUAGAAAUUGUAAUCUAAAAUUUUUUAUUUAGGCUUACAUAUGCAUAUUACUUGGAAAACACUAUUACAUUAAAUAUAUAAAACAAUAGAUUUAGGGACAUAUUACGUAAGGGUCAUAAAAUGUAUUUGAUUAGCUUGCUGUGCUUAAGCUUUAAGCACACAUUGACGUGCAUAAGUGUUCCAACUUUGUAUAAUGAUUGGAAAGUGGUGAGAUUUGAAUGAUUUUUGAAGAGUUUGUAGAUGCAUGGUUGAUAUGGUGGUAUGAGAGAAUAUUGGUAGUGAUGCUUUGAUUAUGUUGAAGGAAGAAGAAAGCUUCAGUUAUGAGAAGCAGAAGCUUUGUUGUUGUUGAGCUUGGCAAUGGCUAAUUAUAUAGACAACCAACAUAAAUAUUGGCAGCAGCAAUUAUAAUUUCUAAAUUUUUUUUUAAUUUUUUAUCGUAAUUCAGCUAUGUUAUUUUGGGAAUGGAUAAGGAUGAUCUGAUAACUUUAUUGUAUUUAUAGCCGUUGGCACCAAGCAAAUAUAAUGCUAUUAACCAACAAUACACUGUUCUGAACAUGAAAAAUGUGUUUUUCUUAAGCCAAGGGUAUUUUAGUCAUUCUGUCAGUCAACAAACAGUCUAAGGAUAGAAAUAGGAACGUAAGGGGAGGUUUGUGAGAAUAUGUGAGUACAUUCUAUUAGAGUGAGAAUACCCCAAACUUCAAGGGAGGUUUCUAAAAAUUAUCCUUCAAUUAUAAGAUCUUGCAAACAGUGAAGUAAAAAUUGCUUUGAUUCUACUCUUCUAUUUUGUUUAUCCAAUGAGUUGUCUAUUUUUGGGGUUUCCCCAUGAUUUUUUUUUUGUUUAUUUUUGAAAUUACCAGAAAAAAAGAUGCUAUAGUCAGCAAUGUUUGGGCUCGCAUGAACAUGAUGUUUUAUGUUAUGGCUAUCACUAUAAUGCUUUGUUAUCAUUGUUAUUAUUAUUUGAUUUGCAUAAAACAAAAAAAAAAAUUAAAAAUGUGUAAUUAAGAGUAAUUAUAAACUUUUAAUUAAGUGUCGAAUUAUAAUAUUUGAUCUAUAUCAAUAUAUGACCAUGUACCAAAUAUCAAAAUAGAGUUAAGAUUUAUAAUAUCUGGAUACGAUUUUAUGAAUUUGAAAAAAAAUAAUUAUGUCUAUUUUUUGUUACAAAUUAUAUUAUUUUAUUAUAAAUUUUGAAGUCGGUUGAAUGUGGAAAUUUAUUUCAUCAAUUAAUUUAAAAAGGUACUAUGUAUAUGACAUGGUUGGUGAAUGUUAAUAUAAUGGGUGGGUAUGACCAAUAACUAUGCAUUUAUUUUAAUUAAAGUAAUAUGGAUAAAUUUAUUAAGAAUAGUUGUCAAUUUGUCAUAGUCACAGCCAUCACAUGAAGUCGUGGCACAAGAAAUUUUAUUUAUUUUUUUAAUGAAAAAUUAAUCACACUGAUUAACAAAUAAUUAUGAUGGAUGUAUCAUGAUGGACUUCACAAAUAAAAUAAAAGAAUUCGUCAUACUUUUUUAAAGAUUUGCAAUUUAUGAAUACAAAUGGGCCUCUAGCAACUGGUUAGAGUUCAAUUUGGGCCUUUGAUCAUAACAAAUAAACAAUACAAAAACUCAUUUUUUCAGUACUAUACUUAUCUCCAUAAGCAUGCAUUUAAUUUCACAAAUUAUUUUCAAAUUUUUUUGUUAUUUUUUAAGUAGAGUUUUUAAAAAUUAAAUAAAUUAUUUUAUCUCUGCCACUAAAAGCUUAAAUUUUAUACUUUUGAAAGUAGUGGUUGAUUUUUUUUUUAAAUAUUAAAAUAUCCUUUACUUAUUUACUUAUUUUAUUUAUUUAUUUUAAAACAUAACUCAAAAAAAUUACCUAUUAAAGUAAUUUUGUUUAAAAUUUUCAAUUAAAACUCUCAUGGACCACCAAAUAACUAAUUUUCUUUAAUAAAUCUAUGUUUAUAAAAGUUCUUUUAACAAAAACUAUACUUAAAUAAGUUUUCCUUAAAACAUUAUACCAAACAGUGCCUUCACACUAUAUAAAAAAAUAAAAUAAAAAAUUACCUAUUAAAGUAAUUUUGUUUAAAAUUUUCAAUUAAAACUCUCAUGGACCACCAAAUAACUAAUUUUCUUUAAUAAAUCUAUGUUUAUAAAAGUUCUUUUAACAAAAACUAUACUUAAAUAAGUUUUCCUUAAAACAUUAUACCAAACAGUGCCUUCACACUAUAUAAAAAAAUAAAAUAAAAAAUAUCCUAAUUGUUGCAAGAUUUUUAUCUCGAUGACUCCAUCACAAUAAAAUUCGUGAGUGCUCUAAUUGUCCUCUAAUGUUCUAUGGUCAUGAGUUUUGUGUUGUGCCACUUAUUCAUUUCAUUAAUAAUAAAAGAAAAUGGUUUGAGACUUUGAGUAUUUACAAAAAAAAAAUAAAAGGGGUUGAAUCUCCCACAAAUUUAAAAUAAAAUUGCACCUAAUUUAAUUUGAGUAAUGCAGUACUUAUAUUUUCUAGAAGUUUUGCGGUUGAAUUAUGAAAUUACAAGAAUUUUAUUUUUUGUUAAUAUUAAUUUAUAAUUAGUGGACUAAUUCAUUUUUAAUAUAUUAGAUUAGUAAAAUACAAAAAAAAUUUAGUUGAUUAAAAUAUAUAUUUAUUAAAUUAUAGGUAAACUUAUAAUUUAUUACAUUAUUAAUUUAUCGAUUAAUUAAUAAAUGUUUAAAUUAAUAAAUUUUAUAUGAUGCACACGUUAUUAAUUUAUAAACAAUUGAUUGUACUUUGAAUUCUUUGUUUCCAAACUAAACCUUUAGGCAGACAAAACUAUUUUUACUGCAACGGUAUGCAAGGACGCGAAGUAUCUGCGUCAGCACAGCCUUUCGGUCGCCGUUGAUUUUACAUACUACAACAAAGUCAGCUUUCAUCAGCCACCAUCAAACCCACGUCAACUUCCAUCACUUCCCAGUAAUUGAUGAUUUUUCUUCAUGUUAUUUCUUAAUUCCUAUAAUUUUUAGAAACCUUAAACCCUUGAAGUAGUUGAAUACAGAAACGGAGGAUGUCAGUGUCGUUUUCAAAUUUUCCAGCACCAUUCCCG